UUUUUUUUUGUGGACGAAUGCCCAGGUCCUAGUUGAUGUUACAAAUAAAAAUAACCAAAGUUUGGCAGUGGGCUAGUGACAACUGAUAAACCUCUCUACAUUGCCGGCCAAUGAAAAUAAAACUACUAUGUUGCUCUCACCAAAACAUAAAUAUUUAAAGGAUAAAUAGCAAAGAUCAUUUUUCAGAAUCUAAAAUGGUUGUAAUGUUAUCAUUGGUUAUAAGACGAAUAGAGCAAGUGGUAACUUCUGGAGGUUUACCUAUCAAUCCGUUGGUGCAAGAGUUUGUUUCCUUUGCAAAAUUACCGCUAAAAGGACAUAAACAAUGGUAUCCUCCAACUAUGUUUUGGCAAGUUGCAGACUUAGGGCAGGGACUUGGACUAUGCUCACAUUCAUUGACAUCUGCAGUUAAAAUUCAAAAAAAACUAAUCCCAAGUGAGACUUUCGAGGUAAGAUAAGAAAGAUAUGGAGAUUGGGGUAUUAGUAGAUAACUAUAAAAUACCACUUGAUCUAGGCUUCUUAUUUAUUCUAAGAAAUGAGUUGCAAUUCUACUUGAAUGAAUAUCAGUCAACAUGAAAAGUUACAAACAAAGGUAUACGUACCAUUUUUCAAUCAAUGAUGGAACUGAAAUGGCAUUCAAGAUGCAUAAAGUUUCUUUGUAGCUCAGGCUACAUGGAACCUCUUAUCCUCAACCCUUCAGCCUUGCUUUGAGAUCCGUACUCUUCAACUAACUUACAACAAGCAGAUUUCUCUUUUUUGUUUCUCUAAAAUGAAACAAUAUAUGAACUUCAAACUUUGCAGAUCGAACAAACAUUAGAACAUCAAUGUGUGAAAAAACUUUCAGAUUUUUUGGUCUGAUAUAAAUAUAGAAAAUGAGAUUUUGUUGGACUAAAAAUAUUAUUUUAAACAUUUAAAAUGCAUGAAAAAAUCUGAAAGUUUUUUCACAGAUUGAAGUUAGAAUGUAUUGUUGUUCUGCAAAAUUUGAAGUUUAUAUGUUGUGUCGUUUGAGAGAAACAAUAAAGACAAAUGUGUCUGCAUGGAUCACGAUGCAUAAAUGGAUGGCAAAGAUAAGGGGUACCAUGUAGCCUGAGCUACAGAAAACCGCACUCCUUCAAGAUGCAAGACAAGUAUAAUGAAACAAACUAACAAUUUGAUCAACAUCAGAUAGAAAAAAGCGAGUACAAGACUUGAGUAUGACGGUUUGUUCUCCGUUUAAUGUUUCUUUUAUGGUUCGUUUUUUUAAAUCCAACAACAUAUUCAUCUACUAUUACAUAAGUACUCAAUUCUCAAGAGACAAAACUCACAUAUUAUGACCCUUGCUUUGCAUUUAUCUAUUCGGAUAUAUUUUUUGCAUGCAUAUAUGAGAGGAGAAAUGCUACACAUGAAAAUUCAUACAGAUCUAGGUGGGGGCUUGCCUGUGCAUCCAUUGGAGAGGUAAGGAUUUCCUUGGUAUCCGCUAGAGCAGUUGCAUAGAUACCCUAAGCCAUUGGGUGAAUCCACGCACACUGUGCUUCUAGUCCGACAUGCAUAGGAAGACAUGUUUCUGCUCGCCACCUCACACUUUACAUUUCCAAUUGCCCAGUCAAGCACCAUCGGUUUCCGCCCUUUGUAGGUAUCAUUGAACCUUGUCGUGGUUAUAUACUCAGAGUUGAAAACAAAAUUCUCCGCUUCCACCACCAUGGAGUAGGCGCAUGGGUUGAAGUGCCAACUAGUCGUACUGUUGAGGUAGCCGACAUCAUAGAAUACGACAUGGUAGCUUGUUAAUGCCUUGGUAAUGGUGUUUUGGCAGCAGCCUAUGCCAACGCACGAGCCAUUUGCCAGUUCGUCCGGGCUCCAACACACAAUUACACACCCUGCUACGUACCUCGAUUUGCCUGUGUAAAUGUAUCCCAUUGAGUUGCAACCAAUGCUUAUGAACUUGUUCUGCACGUCCGAGAACCGAUAUGGCCAUGCUAAGUAAAAAUCCCAAGGGAGCAAAUCCAUUUUUUCUGUACUAGAAUUGUAGCAAUAUGAUGGGAUGGUCAUUAAAACUCUGGAUUGACCACGGGAUGCUGAAAUGUUUAGAACCUCCUGUUCAUGAAUGAAUGGCCUCUCAAUUCCAUCAACAGUCCUGCUGCAGUUGACCUCAAACCUUUGUUCGAUGGCACAACCAAUACCAAUGCCAAAUGGGUAGGGAAUCUCAAUGUCACCGCAAUGUGUUCUGCAUCUGUGGUUAGGUUGCGCCAAUGACAUAGAUGUGAGGUUCAACAGGAUUAUAACAGCGCCGAGCAGUAUCAUCGAGGCCAUAUUAAUUCUCUGAAAUUGGCGUCACCAAAUUAAGUGUCUGUUGUGCUGAAGGAGAACAGAAAACAUCUUGAAAAAACUUUGAUUUUAUCACUUUUUAAAUGGCCGGUAGGUUGAAAGUUUCAAUUCCUAUGUAUGUUCUUGUUUAACUUUUAUAUAUGCUAAAGAAACAACAACCUGAAAAAUAAGAACAAGGUUGAAUGAAUGGGUUUCAAUAUUUGUAUCAAAGGGCAGUAAUCUUGCAAAUAAAAUGGCAUGUUAAAUUUCUGGUCAGUCCGUCCGAUUCAUAUUAAUUCACGCAGCUUUAGUACAAUGUUAGUACAAAAUUAUACUAAAGCAACAUCAAUUAAUAUGGAUUGGAGGGAGUAUUACUUUUUGACACUAGACAAAGCAUAUAUUAUAUUGGAAGAUCUCUUCAUAUUUCAUUUAUAUGUUCAAUGAUGCAUCUUGCUUUUGGGUUGUUGUGCGUCCCUUUCGUCCAAAAUAUAUGGUGCCUUGUGUGGAACGAUGAAUUAGUUUUUCCCUAGUUUCUAAAAGAUCCAUGACAUGUGAAUUACCAGUGUUGUAAAAAAAAGUGCCAUCAGAAUCACAACAUCAAAAUUAUCAAGCCAACCCAAAACGUGAACUACUAAUGUUGGAACCAGACAUAUAUCAUGUUUUGGACAGACACAAAGCACAUAUUAGAAGGUGUCUUCAUAUUUAUCUCUCAAUUUCUAUUUUUUUCAUGGAGCCUUGUUGGGGGUGGGGCAGGAGGCCUUACCUCGACCGGGGUCACUCGGGACGACAUCAUCGCUUUUGGAGGGAUUUCGGACCCUGUUUCCGGUGGUCGACGGAUGAGUUGUCGCCUCCAGGAUCAGCCGGAUGUUGAUGACAUGUAGCUACGAUGCGCCAUGCAGACGACCAAGCUUCAUGAUAUUGAGGUCACUACUGGUAUGUCAGUAAACACUUCCAAUUCAAUCUUGCAUUUUUCUAAUGAUGAGAUUAUUCAUAACGCAAAUCGGUUGGGGGUUUCUCUAGGUAGUAACGAUGAUGAAGUUUCUAAGUCCGUUAAUGAUCUCUUGGAUCUUGAAGUGGAGCACGCUUUAGAGAUGAUUAGAAACCCAUCGGCUGUUAAACCUAUGAACGAUUCUGAUGUAGAUGCUUUGGGGGUCAAUGUGCUUGAUAGCUUUUGUGCGGAUCUGGCACCCUCUCUUCCUGAGAAUAAGGAGGAUGACUACUUUACUUCCCCAAGGGAUUCCACUAUUGCUGAUUCCCAGGUGGAUGUGUCCACGGAGCUCGGUCGCGAGGACCGGGUAGAGGAACAAAACAAACCGAAACGCAAGUGGAAUCAUAGGAUUUAUCCGGCGUCGGCAGUGCGUAAAUGUGCUAGGAUCUGAACCACUAAAAAAUUUCAUGAUGAAAUAUGAAAGGAAUUUUUGGAAUACUAGAGGUCUUAAGGACUUGGCUAAAAGAAGGUUUCUAGCUGAUGCUUCUAUAGAUCACAAGUUGGAUUUUAUUGCCCUGUCAGAAACUGGAAGGGACAAUUUCACCCCCCCCCAGUUCCAUAGUACUUUGUCGGGAGGGUUGACUUUGAUUGGCAUUGUCUACCUCCAAGAGGAAGAUCUGGUGGGAUUUUGCUUGGGGUUAAAUGCGGUUCUUUGGAAGUUAGGAAUGUGGUUAUGUGAGACUUUGUGGUUAAGUUUCGGGUUCGGUCAAAGGCCGAUGGGUUUAAUUGGGCUCUGGUGGCGGUAUAUGGUGCCGCGCAACCUGAACUCAAUCUAGACUUUUUGGCGGAUUUAGUCCAUAUUUGUGGUAACAAGAAGCUCUCAAUCCUGAUUGGGGGUGAUUUUGACAUUAUCCGUAGACGGGAGGAAAAAAACAAUGAUAACUUUGACGGCAUAUGGUCGUUUAUGUUUAAUACAAUUAUUGAAAGCUUAGACCUUCGAGAGAUUGAGCUUUCUGGUAGAAAGUUCACUUGGGCCAACACAUUACCGGUCCCGACCUUUGAGAAGCUAGACCGGGUCCUAGCAAGCGUCGAAUGGGAACAAAAGUUUCCCCUAGUGAUGGUCCAAGCGCUCUCUCGCGCAAUCUCCGAUCAUACCCCCUUUGUUUGGUUGACUUGGGAGAGGCAACACAUGUGGGGAACAAGAGUGUGUUUUCUUUCAAAUCAGCGUGGUUUGAAAGAGAAGGGUUUCUGGAUCUAAUAGCAAGAGAAUGGGCUAAAGAUUCAGGAGGGAGAACGAAUGUUGAGCAUUGGCAAAAUAAAAUCAGACAUUUGAGGCAAUUCUUGCGGGGUUGGGCUAAACAUCUUAGUGGGAUAUAUAAGGCUGAGAAGGAAAGGCUCCUUUUUCUUAUGCAAUCCCUAUAUUUAAAAGCCGAGUCCUCCAUCUUAGAUACCAGAUAGCUGGAAAUUAAAGCGGAGGCGGAGUUAAGAUUGAAAGAACUGCUCUGUGAGGAGGAAUUGAAGUGGGCCCUGUGAGCUAAAGUUUGCAAAAUCGUCCAAGGGGAUGAUAACACACAAUUCUUCCACAUGAUUGUGAAUGGCAAGCACCGAAAGAAGAGAAUCUUUCAACUUGAGCAAGAUGAGGGAAUGAUUUUAGGGCAGAAGAACCUAAAGGCAUAUAUCACCAAUUACUACAAGCAACUGUUUGGGCCUCAUGAGGACAAUUUUGUUUCUUUGGAUGAGUCAAGGGUUGAGGAUGUUCCUCAGCUUGUAGUUGAUGAGAACGAUAUUUUGACAGCCCCAUUUUUGGAGAAAGAGGUGUUUGAAGCAAUUCCCCAAAUGAAAAAUAAUAAAGCUCCAGGACUGGAUGGUUUUCCGGCGGAGUUUUAUAAAAAGUGUUGGCACAUCAUUAAGGGGGACUUGCUUUCGAUGUUCCAGGAUCUUUUCUUGGGAUAGUUGCAGUUGUUUCACUUGAAUUUUGGUACUAUCACUCUGCUUCCUAAGAAAACAGAGGCUGUGAGGAUUGAGUAAUUUAGGCCGAUCUGUCUUAUUAAUGUUAGCUUUAAAAUCUUCACCAAAGUUGGGACUAAUAGGCUUACACAGAUUGCGCAUUCUGUGGUAUAGCCGUCCCAAACUGCUUUCAUGCUAGACAGAAACAUCCUAGAAGGGGUUGUGGUUUUGCAUGAAAUGCUCCAUGAAAUCCACACGAAAAAACUAGAUGGGGUGGUUUUCAAAAUGGAUUUUGAUAAAGCGUACGACAAGGUAAAAUGGCCAUUUCUUCAGCAGGCUUUGCGUAUGAAAGGAUUCGAUCAGGCCUGGAGGGACCAGGUAGAUUCGUUCACCCAAAAAGGGAGUGUUGGAAUCAGGGUUAAUGAUGACAUAGUGUAAGGGCAUAUUUAUCCCCAAGAUGUUUUGGUGAUUGAUGACAAUGCUUGUGCGGACUAAUCGUGUGCGUUAAUUUCUUUCAGAGAUUCAUCCAUUGGCACGAGACGAUUUCCUCCCCUCGGUGUUGUUUUCAAGACGGUGUAGCUCCUUUGUUUCGUUGUUGGUGGACUAGUUUCGUAGGAGUCACCGUACUAUCAAGAGGGGAUCCGCUUUGGUAAGACUUGGGUGGAAUCACACGUACACAUCCUUAUCUCACCCGUCGUCUUUCCUUCCGCCUCAUUGGAGCUGUCUUUCUUCCCCUGAGUAUGCCUCAUCCUGCCCCAGCGGUAGUACCGCUCCCAGAGUGGUAGUACCGCUCUCGAGCGGUAGUACCACUUGUGGUGCUCUGCCGUAGUACCGCUGUGCGUCAGGGCUACUACCGCCUCGAUUCUCGAACGAAGUUUUUCGUGUCGGGUUUUGCGGCACUAAGGGCGGUAGUAGUGGUGGUAGUACCGCUCCAAGCGGUAGUACCGCGCCUACCCCCACGGUAGUACCGCCCUGGGACCAGGGCUCUGUCUGCGCGGCAGUACCGCUGGGUAGGAGCGGUAGUACCACCCUUCUCUAGCGGUAGUACCGCCCUGGGGUCAGGGCCCUGUCAGCGCGGCAGUACCGCUGGGUUUGUGCGGUAGUACCGUCCUGACCGGUAGUACCACCCUUCCCUAGCGGUAGUACCGCUUUGUGCGGGGCUGCUCAGUGGAAUAACGGUUGGUUUGAGCCCCCCACUAUAUAAAGGGGUCUUCUUCCCCAAAGUUGACCUACCUCUUUCCCCCAAAGCUCCAUUGUUGCUCCAAGCUUCAUUUUCGCUCGAUCUCUCUCCCUAUCCAAUCAAACUUGUUGAUUUGCUCGGGAUUGGUUGAGAAGGCCCAGAUCUACACUUCCACCAAGAGAAAUUUGAUUCCCCCCAAUUAUCCCUAGCGGAUCUUGUUACUCUUGGGUGUUGAGCACCCUAGAUGGUUGAGGUCACCUCGAAGCCAUACUCCAUUGUGGUGAAGCUUCGUGGUGUUGUUGGGAAAGCUUCGUGGUGUUGUUGGGAGCCUCCAAGUGUUGUGGAGAUAGCCCCAAUCUUGUUUGUAAAGGUCCGGUUGCCGCCUUCAAGGGCUCCAAUAGUGGAAUCACGGCAUCUCGCAUUGUGUGAGGGCGUGAGGAGAUUACGGUGGCCCUAGUGGCUUCUUGGGGAGCAUUGUGCCUCCACACCGCUCUAACAUACUUCCCUUUAAAAGGAAGGAACUUUGGUAACACAUCCUCGUCUCCACCGGCUCCACUCUUGGUUAUCUUGUCCCUUCUUUUGCAAGCUUACUUGAGUUAUAUCCAUUGCUUGCUUGUGUGCUUAUUGUCUUUGCAUCAUAUAGGUUGUCCACGUAGUUGCACAUCUAGACAACCUAUUUCAUUGCAAGGUUUAAAUUGUUAAAGAAAAGUCUAAAAAUUGUUAGUUGCCUAUUCACCCUCCUCCUCUAGUCAACCAUAUAGAUCCUUUCAAUUGGUAUCAGAGCCUCAUCUCUUUAUUAAGGACUUUGCCGUCCGAAGAGUAUGGUUGACACCCACGACGGUGCGGAGGAGCACUCUGGUGUGAAUCCCAUCUCGUCCACGGCCGAAGGGGGAGCCUCGGUCUCUCAUGAGGAAUUCAAUGUGGCUUUAGACACAUUGAAAACCUCCAUGACGGCCGAGGUUAAAAGCAUGUUUUCUGAUUUCCUAGACGGACUUAAACUAUCUACCUCGCCGAUGAAAGUGGGUGAUCCCACUAACAAGGUGACGGAUGCUACCUCCGACAAGGGGGAAGCUAACAGUGAAAAGAGUCUGUCUACUAGUGGUAGAAAUGGCACCGGCAUCUUUGCCAAUGUGGAACCCCCAGUGUAUAGAGGACCGAUCCCCUCUACUCAUUUGAAUCAUGCCGGUCCUCCUCCUAAAUAUGUGAAAAAUGAAGAUUUUGACUCUUGGGUUUAUCGCUUCAAGCGUCACUUAAAACAUGUGAACACUAAGCUUUGGAGAAUUAUUGAAGAAGGUUUCUAUCCUCAUGAUCCAAGAAACUUCACCCCUCGAGAAGAAGUGGACAAUCAAUUCAAUGAGAGUGCUCUCUUCAUCAUCCAAGAUGCAAUCCUUCCCGAAGAUCUCCCUCAUCUUCGACCUCAUGUCAUGGCUAAAGAAGCAUGGAAAUGUGUUGAGUCUCUCUAUUGAGGAAGUGCUAGCAUUCAACGCUCCAACUAUGAAGUGGUGCAAGAUGAAGCCGAUGAGUUUGCAAUGAAAGAGGAUGAAGAACCUCGUGAGCUCUUUCGAAGAGUGACCAAACUCGCGAUCGCACUCCGAGAUCAUGGGAGCAAGGACACGGAUGACAACUGGAUCAAGCACAAGUUUCUCAAGGCCAUGAUGCCCUACAACAAGGCCAUGUCCUCCGUCAUUCGCCAAAGACCGGACUUCCACUCCAUGACCUCAGGUGAAGUGUUGGAUGAGUUUGUUGCAAUGAGCAUCUUGGACAAGACCGCCGAUAAUGCGGUGCUCCGUUCUCAAAGGGCAAAGAAGCCCAAUCUUGCCUUGAAGGCCAAGGUUAGUGUGGAAGAAGAAGAAGAAGAGGAAGAUGAGGAGAGCAACCCCGAGGACACGAAGUAUGAUUAUCAUGAGCACAUGGCUCUUGCCUCAAGACAAUUUUGGAGUAAGAAGAAUACAAGACCCAACUUCAACAAGAACAACUCAAGUGGCCUCAUGGGGAAGCAACGAGUUAGAACUUGUUUCAACUGUGGCAAUGUUAGCCAUUUUGUUGCGGAUUGUCCUUACGAGAAGCGGGAAGACAAUGGUGGCAAGUUCAUCCGGAAAGACAAAGCCAAGUCCUUCGCCAACAAGAACAACUUCACCAAGAAGAUUCCUUCUCGCGGGUUGGUGGUUCAAGAAGAAUACCGUGAGGACGACAAUGAUGAUGAAGAUGGUGAAACAAUGGCCAUGGCAUCCAUUGCCAUUGUCACAACUCCCCGGGUGUCUCUCUUCGAUGCACCUAACGAGAACAUCACCGCCAAGUGCCUCAUGGCUAAGGCCACCAACAAGGUAACCCCCAAUAUCAAAACCACCAUUAUUCCUAACCCUCCUUCAACGGAUGACUUUGAUAAUGGUAAGAGGUCUAAUGAGGAGAUUAAUGAAUUUGAGUCCUUCAUGAGUAAGCUCAAGGGCAAAUCCAAGAAGCACUUCGUUGCUCUCUUGGAACAACUUGGUGAAGCCAAUGACAUGAUAGAGGCUCACGAAGAAACCAUCUCUAAGAUGGAAGGUCAUAGUUGUGAUUACGCCGAUGAGAUAUCGGAUCUAUCGAAUGAUCUUGCUAAGGAGCGUGGGCAUCAUUUGGCUCUUGAGGAGUCACACAACGAUGACCAUGCCAAAUUAAAGAAAGAUCUUGAUCAUGCUCUUGUUGUGUCUCAUGUUCCAACUUCCGAGAAGUCUAAACUUGGGGUUGAUCAUGCUAGACUCAAGGAGGAGUUUGAUGUACUUGACAAGGCCCAUAAGGUCUUGAAAGGUGCUCAUGCAAAUCUCAAGGAGUCUCAUGCUCAACUCCAAGUUAAGCUUACCAUGGAAAAGGCCACAUUUCCUCACAUGGUCUUAAUUGAUAAUGCAAAUGCUACUAACGCAUGUUGUGAGCAUGUGCAUCUUGUGGAGGAGAAUGCCAAGUUGAAGGAACAACUCGAGAAAGGUCUUGUGUCAUGCAUACAAGGCGAGAAGAACCUAAAUGACCUUUUAAGCAAUCAAAAGGAAGUUGUGGGCAAGGAGGGAGUUGGUUUUACGCCCAAGUCCAAGAACAAGAAGAAGAACAAGGAGAAGAAUAACAAGACCAAUCGACCUCCCCCGCUCAAGCAAACUUUUGUGAAGGAGGGAGAGGGUGCUCCUAAGAAGAAGAAUGACAAUGCGAAGAGUGGUGAUGCCAAAGAGAGCAAAGCCAUCUCUCCCAACAAAGACGGUGACUUUAACCCUUCUUAUGUGUUGUGUCGUGCUAGUGAUGGGCAUGUUUAUGCUAAAUUUGUUGGUUCUUCUUAUGAGUACAUUGAAUGGUCUAUUUGGGUUCCUAAGACCCUUGUUACUAACAUCAAAGGACCCAUUACUCAAUGGGUACCUAAAACCAAGCAUUGAUAUCUUGUAGGUGUUUGCUUCCGGUGGGGGAUCAUGGUUGCUCGAUAGUGGAGCAACAAAUCAUAUGACCAGGAGCAAGGACUUGGUGGUGGACGUGCACAAGAUCCCAUCUAUGCCCACCAAUGUUGAAUGGGGUGAUGCCUCACAUUCUAAGGUAUUGGGUCUUGGCAAGGUUGUCAUUUCUCAUGAUCUAACGAUCGAGAAAGUCAUGCUUGUUGAGUCCCUUGCGUUCAAUUUACUUUCCGUUCGUCAACUCUGAAAGUGCAAUCAUGCCCUUAAUCAUAUUUUGAUGUUGAUGACAACACAUAUGCUCGGGACUAAUCAUGUUUAUCAAGUAUAUCUCAGGAUUAUGUUCCAAAGACCGUGUGCAUGGAUCAUGACUAGGACAAAAGCAUAUAACUCAAGAAUGGAGAUACAAGAUGUUGACUUCAUUUAUGGUUUGUUCUUGAGUAUAGGGAUCCCGCACUAUUAAGAGGGGAUCGAUGGAUCUGUGAAAAACUUGCUCAAAAGUUGCUAUCUAUAUACCUUGCCUUCGGACGUCCGGUGUUCUACGGACGUCCGGUCCUUCCUGAUUACCCGGACGUCCGGACACUAGUGGUAGAUCCACUUGAGGUUGGAGACUCCUAGGCGGUAGGAGUCAUCCGGAGAGGAAUCGAACUUUGUGAUUACCCUCGGAAAAGUUUGUGAGGCUUUGGAGACCACCCCAAGGUCUACCACUAGUGGUUGAGAAACGCCUCCGUGGUGUUGUCUCAAAGGGAGAAUAGGGUGAGCCUUCAUGGCGUUGGUGUGCCUUCGUGGUAACAUCCAUCCCUCUAAUGGUGACUAGCUUCCCUCCAAGGAAGUGAACAUCGGCUUACAUCCUCGUCUCCCGGAGUUGCGGUUAUUCCUAACCUUAACUCUUUACUUGUGGUUACUUGUCUCUUUACACUUGCGUACAUUAUAUUGUGCUUGCCUACUUACGUGUUUGUGUUAUUUGCUUAGUACUUUGUGCUCACGUGCAAUUGUUAGGCUCAUCUUCAUAUUCCGCAUUAUUGCCUAAAAAUUGCCAAGUAAUAAUUAAAAUUUGUAAUUGUACCUAUUCACCCCCCCUCUAGGUCCAUCUCGAUCCUUUCAAUUGGUAUCAGAGCCUCAUGCUCUAUUCUUGUGGCUUAACCGCCCUAGAGCGAGAUGAACCCAGAUGGGACUCCCCUGGUUGUAGAUCCUAAGGAUAAAGGCGAGGCUUCUUCUGAAUUUAAGUCCUUCACGUCUCAGGAUCUAGAACAGGCCCUUGCUAAGCAAAAAGAGGAGCAUGAUGCUUCUCUUGAGGCCUUGGUCCAACUGAGAUUAUCCACGUUGUCCGCGGUGCUUGCACCACACUCAAGUGGUGUGAGUCCGAGGCCAACUAUGCCUACUUCAUCACUUGGUCAACAACCUCCUAGCAAUGAACACACCAGUGUUCCUUGGCUUUAUGCAAGACCUCAGGUUAAGAAACCAAGAUAUAACCCUCAAGGCAAACCUCCUUUACUUACUGCUACUGUCGAUUUUGCAUUGUGGAAAGUUGCUAUGCAAGAUCAUCUUCGACAUGGAAACGAUGAGAUGCUGGAGAUUAUAGAGUAUGGCUAUCAUGUGGUUGAUCCAAAGAACCCCACACCAAGAGAAAUAUAUGACAAGAACCUCAAUGACACGGCAAUCAUGUGUAUAAGGAGAGGUAUGGAUGAAAAGCAAAGGAGACCGUUCAUACACAUCAAAAGUGCCAAGGAACUAUGGGAAAGUAUUAUACGAUCCAGGACUGGCACUUCUACCCUCCGGAGUGCUCAAUAUUAAAUUGCCAAGGGGCAAUUGCAAAAUUUUUGUAUGGAAAAAGGUGAAACCCCCAAUCAACUCCUUGAGUGUCUCAUGACUCUCACUGCGGAUAUUGAGUCAUGUGAGUGUGACAAGACACAAGAUGGAUUCAAUAUGACUAAGAGGUUUCUUGUGGAUAAGUUGCUUCAUGCUCUUGCUCCAUAUCAUCAUCAAAUGGUGUGGGACAUAAGACAACACCAUACCUUCAAGGAAAUGACUACAGAUGACAUCAUAUCCACCUUCCAACUAUUUGAAGAGUCAAAGGCCAAUGCCACAAAACAUCUUGCCAUGCAUGGUUCCCCAUCAUCAAAAAUCAAUCUUGCAUUGAAGGCCAAGCAAGUAUGUGAAGAUGAGAAAAGUGAAGGAGAAGAAGAAGAUGAGGAGGAUGAAGAUGGUAAUGAGAUUGACUCCGACGAGGGCCCUUCGUAUGAAGACAUGGCUCUUUUUGUCAAGAAGUUUAGCGCCGGAAAAUUCAAGGGAAGAUUUCAAAAGAAGAAAGUGAGAAAAUGCUACAACUGUGAAGAAACCAGUCACUUCUCCAACGAGUGCCCUUAUGAGAAGAGAGAAGAUAAACCAAGGUUUCCCAAGACCUUUCCCAAGAAGAAGUUGCCAAAUCCUUUGAACUCCAAGCUCAAGAAGAGAGAUGGAAUGGCAAUGGUUGCUCAAGAAGAAUCUGAUCCGGAUGAUGUUAGUGGUGUUGCCGGAGUUGCUCAAGACUCUCAAAACACGUUGAGGUUAGUAAACAAGAGUGGUGACGUGGUCACCUACAACUACAUGAAAGAUUACAAGGGCAACGCUCACAAGUGCCUAAUGGCAAAGGCCAUGGUUGAAGAAGGAGAGGACCAAAGCUCUUCUGACAAGGUCAAGGUAACUCCACGAUCAAAUCCUCCUCUUUUCACACCUUCUACUCCUAGUGAUGAGUACCUUGAUGCGGAGGAUAGCUAUGAGGAUGACGAUCUAGAUGAUCCUAUGAUUGCUAAACUUAAUAAGUUCAUGUGCUCCCUCAAAGGAAAGAAACUCACUAUGUUUCAUAUGCUUAUGGAGAUGGUGAGUAAGCACACCAUCACCAUUAAGGAACUCGAAACCCUCGUCACCGAGGAAAAGGAAAAGUGUGAAAUCCUUGUGCGGAAAGUCCAAUAUGAGGAAGCACGAAAUGAUGAACUAUGCUUAAAAAUUGGUGCAAACAUUGAUGUUCACACUAAUGAUCUUGCCUCCUUGAAAAAGGCUAUUGACUCUUGUGAAGAGUUAAUGAAUGAUAAAAUCAAGCUUGUGAAGUCUCAUGCUUCUCUAUCUAAGGAUUGUGAGCUUCUAUCCGUGUCCCUCAAGACUAAGGAAGGAGAGCUCACCGUUCUUAGAAAGAGUUUUGAGACGCUCAAACUUACUUAUCUUGAAACUUUAGCCAAGGCUUACUCUUCCCCUAUUAUAAAUGUUGAUGCUUGUGCUACUAACUCUAGUAGUGAUCUAGCAUCUAUUCUUGAGGAAAAUCGUUUUCUCAAGGCUCAAAUUGAGAAAGGUCUCAUGACAUGUGCUCAAGGGCAAAAGAAUCUUGAUGAGAUUUUGAGCCAACACAAUGAGGUGUUUGCCAAAGAGGGACUUGGGUUCGACCCUAGCACAAGCAAGAAGAAGAUGUCCUCCCAAAAGUGCACAACUCCUCUAAACGAAACUUUUGUAAGAGAAGGGCACAAGGAGAAAGGUAAGGUUGUGAGUGGGAAGGCCACAAGGGGCAUGCCCACUCUCAACAAGCCUAAAGAGUUCAUGCCUCCUUCCUAUGUACUUUGUAAGACUAAGGAUGGAGAAGUCUUUGCAAAAUUUGUUGGUCCUUGAAAUGCAUUCCGUUUCUAUGCUAUUUGGGUCCCUAAGACCCUUGUAACUAACUUGAGAGGUCCCAUUGCAAAAUGGGUGCCUAACCAAGUCCUAAUUGUGUGUAGGUAAGCUUCUCCGGCGGAGUGAAAUGGGUGAUUGAUAGUGGAUGUACAAAUCAUAUGACCGGAGAUAGCAAAUUGCUCUACGAUUUCAUGGAAGCUAUUCAACCAUUCAUGAGCAUUAUGUUUGGUGGAGGUUCAAAAGGACAGGUACUCGGAUUGGGCAAGGUGGCUAUCACCAACGACAUGUAUCUUGCAAAUGUUAUGCUUGUCCAAUCCCUUAAAUAUCACUUGCUUUCUGUUCGCCAAUUGGCUUCUGUUGGUUAUGAUACACUCUUUGAACUAACGGAUGUGAAAGUCUUUAAGAGAGAUACUCUCGAAGUGGCCUUUGUUGGAGAGUUGGAUGGCAACCUUUACAUGGUUGAUUUCUCGAAAGAGAGCACAUUCCAUGCAACUUGUCUAAUGGCCAAGGCUGACAAGGGGUGGCUAUGGCAUCGCCGGCUAGCCCAUGUCGGCAUGAGAAAUCUUCAAGAUCUCUUAAAGGGGAAUCACAUCCUUGGACUAACUAAUGUCUCUUUUGAGAAAGAUCGUGUGUGUAGUGCAUGCAUAGCCGGGAAGCAACAUCAAUCAAAGCACCCACCCAAGAACAUAGUAUCUACUUCAAGGCCCCUAGAGCUCCUUCAUGUGGAUCUUUUUGGGCCUCCUUCAUGGGAUAGUCUUGGUCGGAAAAAGUAUGGGCUUGUCAUUGUUGAUGAUUCUCAAGAUAUACAUGGGUGUUCUUCCUCAAGUCCAAGGACGAAACGAAGAUCACCUUCAUUGAUUUUGCCAAGAAAGCCCAACGCAAGUUUGACAAAGAAAUCCGAGCAAUAAGGAGUGACAAUGGCUCUGAGUUCAAGAACUAUACCUUGGAAGAAUUUCUUAGUGAUGAAGGGAUUGAGCAUCAAUAUUCAGCUCCAUACACUCCUCAGCAAAAUGGUGUAGCCGAACGGAAGAACCGUACACUUGUAGAAUUGGCAAGGUCCAUGUUGGAUGAAUACAAGUCACCACAUAGUUUUUGGGCUGAAGCUGUCAAUACCGCAUGUCAUGCAUCAAACCGACUCUUCCUCCGCACUAUAUUGGAAAAGACUCCAUAUGAGCUUCUAACUGGAAACAAGCCAAAUGUCAAGUACUUUCAUGUAUUUGGGUGCAAAUGUUUCAUUCUCAACAAAAGAGAACGGUUAGGAAAAUUUCAAUCCAAAACAAUUGAGGGUAUAUUUGUUGGUUAUGGAUCAAACUCUCACGCCUAUAGAGUCUACAACAAAUCCAAUGGAUGUGUUGUAGAAACUUGUGACGUGGUGUUUGAUGAAUUUAAUGGCUCCCAUGGGGAGCAAGUUGAUCUAAGUGAUGUAGGUGAAGAAGAUGCUUCUCAAGACAUUUUGAACAUGGGUGUUGGUGCACUUCUUCCUAUGGAACAAGAACCUCAUGAUGAUGAUGAAGAAGAUGGAGGUCUCACGCAUCAUCAAACUACUUCAACAUCCAUACCAACACAAGUUCCUAGUGUUCAACCUAUACCCAUAGCCCAAGUUGAUGAGGUUGAUCAAGUCUCACUUAAUGAUAAUCAUCAAGAACAAGAUCAUCAUCAAGAGCAAGAACAAGAAAGUCCAAUCAUGGAUGACGAACCUCAACAAAUGCAACAUGAACAAGAAGAUCUUCCUCCACACGUGAAUGAUCCAUAUGUUGAAGAUGUGGAUGAUGGACAUGAAUUUGAACCUCGUGAAACCCUCACCUCCAUCAUGCCUCGAGUGGCCGGUCGUGUUGAUGUUGACAAAAUCCUCACUGACAUCUCGGAAGGUAGAGUCAUUCGUAAACAUUUGACAAACUUUUGUGCUCACUUCUCUUUUGUGUCUAGUAUUGAACAACUCAAGGUACAAGAGGCAUUGAUGGACAACGAUUGGCUUGUUGCUAUGCAAGAAGAGUUGAACAGUUUUGAACGCAACCAAGUGUGGUCACUAGUCAAGAGGCCGUCCACCGAGCACAACGUCAUUGGAACAAAAUGGAUUUUCAAGAACAAGUAAGAUGAAAAUGGUGUCAUCAUCCGCAACAAGGCAAGGUUAGUGGCACAAGGGUACUCACAAGUUGAAGGUUUGGACUUUGGUGAGACCUUUUGCCCCAUUGCCCGUCUUGAAUCCAUUCGCAUUUUACUUGCUUAUGCCGCUCUCAAUGGUUUUACAUUACAUCAAAUGGAUGUGAAGAGUGCUUUCCUUAAUGGUCCUCUACAAGAAGAAGUAUAUGUGUCACAACCACCCGGGUUCGUUCAUCCCUUUCACAAAGACUAUGUGUAUAAACUUCAUAAGGCUUUGUAUGGCCUCAAACAAGCACCUCGUGCUUGGUAUGAUCAUUUGAAGAAGUUUUUACUCGAUGAUGGUUUUGUGAGAGGGGUGAUCGAUCCCACUCUUUUUACUAAGAGGGACAAGGGUGAUUUGAUUCUAUGCCAAAUCUAUGUAGAUGACAUCAUUUUUUGUUCUCCUAGCAUUCAUUUGUGCAAGAAGUUUGCGGAUUCAAUGACCAAGAAUUUUGAAAUGUCACUCAAUACGGAUUUGAAGUUCUUUCUCGGAUUUCAAAUUCAACAAUUCUAAGAAGGAAUUUUCUUAUCUCAAGCAAAGUACCUCAAGGAUAUUCUAGAAAAGUUUGGUAUGUCUGACGCUAGUCCAUGCAAGACACCCAUGCCAACCAAAAUCACUCUCACUGAAGACACAAAUGGUACUCCUUUCGACCCAUCUACUUAUCGCUCUAUGAUUGGUUCAUUGCUUUAUCUUUGUGCAUCUAGACCAGACAUCAUGUUCAGUGUAUGCACGUGUGCUAGAUUUCAAGCUUUCCCUAAGGAAAGUCAUCAUAAGGCGGUUAAGCAUAUUCUUAGAUACCUUGUUCACACCCCAAAGUUGGGCCUCUGGUAACCCAAGGAUGCUAAGUUUGAUCUCAUUGGGUACACGAAUGCGGAUUGGGCUGGAGACAAAGUGGAUCGUAAGUCCACAUCCGGUGCAUGUCAGUUUCUUGGACGAUCCUUGGUGAGUUGGUCCUCGAAGAAACAAAUUUGUAUUGCUCUCUCUACCGCAGAAGCUGAAUACAUUGCUGCCGCUAGUUGUGCAACUCAGUUGUUAUGUAUGAGGCAAACAUUGAAGGAUUACGGUAUCACCUAUAGAAAUGUGCCUCUUCUGUGUGAUAAUGAAAGUGCCAUCAAUAUUGCUGAGAACCCCAAAGAUCAUCUCCGCACCAAACACAUUGAAAUUUGGUAUCAUUUCUUGAGAGAUCAUGUUGAAAAGGGUGAUAUUCACAUUGAUCACAUUGGUACAGAUUUUCAACUAGCGGAUAUCUUCACCAAACCUCUAGAUGAAGCAAGGUUCUGUCGACUUAGGUGUGAACUUGGUAUCUUGGAGCUUGACAACAUUAUGUGAAAUCUAGUACCCAGUCAUGCAUGAAUCUAAUGUCUUGUCAUGAUGUAGGCAUAUACUUAGGGGGAGACAUUCAAUUCAUGAAUGUUCUCGCCCUACUCAAUGCAUAAAAAGAACCAACACUCUCAAAGUAUCCAUGGGUCUAGACCUAUGGUGCUUUAACAUGAUGGAGUAGUGACUAUGCACUCAAAGUUCAAGUCUUUCUGUGUCAUGUCCUGUCUACUCAGACAUUGUGGCAUUAGCCACCACUUGUAGUAUAUGGCUAUGAUUGAGUAAGGUAGGAUAUGAUUUACUACAUAAAUAAGUUUUACUAUGAAAAAAAUGCCUUUCUCCUCAUCAUUAUCAGCACCUGCACUCUUGCCUCCUGUGAAAACUUCUGGCAUCGGACGUCCGUAGGUUCCGGACGUCCGUGUGGUAUUUCACUGCCGGACGUCCGUAAGCAUCCGGACGUCCGUAUAUUCUGCUCUGAUUACCUUCGACCGGUCGUCCGUAAAAUCCACUCUGGUUCCCUUAAGUUGGCCUAGACGACGAAGCUCCGGACGUCCGGAAGACUCCGGACGUCCGUAAAAACCUUUCUGUUACAAUCUGCCCGGUCGUCCGAAGCCGUCGGUCGUCCGUAGAAUCAUCUCUGCCAUCCUCUAUUUGCUGAUGGUCCAGACUCUGGUCGUCCGUCCGUUCCCGGAUGUCCGAACGAAUAUGUGACUCCGGUCGUCCGUAGGCUCCGGACGUCCGUACGUUUUUUUACUGGGCUCUAUAUAUACUGCGCCGUAGGGUUUGUCAACCAACCACAUCCUCUCCACUUGUUUCACUGCCGCCGCCGCCGCUCCUGCCGUGCGUCCACUCCCCGCAGCCGCCCGCCGCCGUACCCCUCGCCGAGGUUUCUCCCCGCCACGGAUCUGCGACUCGCCGUCCGGCCCGUCCAGCUCGUUCUGCUCGGAGUUUCUCUCCCCGGCCAGUCCGUCGACCCCUGAUCCAGCACGCCGCUCGGCUCCUCCGUGCUCUUCCUCUCAAGGUCACGAUGCCUCGGUCCAAGCACUCCGCUCGCAAGCAAGUCGCCGGAGGGCCGGCUCGUCCGUCUCGUCGUGGUGGCUCCGACGACUCCCAGGAGGAAGAUCGCCCUCGGAAACGUGCCGCUCGUCCUCCCAGCUCGUCCAGUGAUUCCUCUUCAGAGGGGUCGGAUUUUGAGGAUGAGCUUGAAGAGGUGGAUUUGUCCCUGAUGGUUGGCGUCCGUGUCGCUGCCCCCAAGCCCGGCACUCGUCGUCCAACCUUUUAACCUCUUCCUCCUCCGGUGCAACCCCACGGUGAUGCCCGUCACAUCUCCAUUGAGCCUCCACUGUCACUAGGCCGUCAUGUUAAGCAUUUCAACGAGGUCCCCAAAUCUUCAUAUCUUAAAUUGCAUCGUGAUGUAGAUCAAUUUACUGUUGUUAGGGAUUCUCAGGAUAGUCGCUUUCGCACAAAUGUCCAACCGACAUCUUCACCACGAUUGUCAUCCCUAAAGGCUUGUCACUUCAUGUUUGCAUUGAUCUUGAGCACAUUCGCACUCAUCUGGAGAAAUAUCCGGGAGCCAUUGAGCUCAUUGAGUCGUCAAAUCUAGCUGCUCCAUUCGCCUUUCAACACGAUUUUAACCACGCUGCCAUCCAUCAGUUUUAUGCCACAUGUUACUUUGCUCCUGAUAACACUGUCACAUGGAUGACCUCCGACACUGCACUCACAACAUCUUAUGCUCAGUUUGUCACUGCACUUGGAUUUCCCAACACUGGGUUCAAAAUCCACAAGGAUGACCCCAACCAUAAGCCCAAAGGCACUGCGGUCUGUGCGGAUCUUCUUAGACCCAUACCAUCUUUGUCUAGCACUGAGAAACAAAAGCGUCUAAAUCAAGUCUCCAUUUGGCGUUUUCCAUUCAACAUCAUUUAUCAGUGUGUCAUCUGCACCAUUUAUCCCAAGAUGGGUGACAAGGGCUCCUGCAGCAGCUACUGCAUUGAUCUCAUGCAUCGCCUCUUCACAUCUCCUAAAAGGAAGAUAAAUGUUCCACACUUUCUAUGGCAUGAGAUCCGCCUUGCUAGCUUCCAGCACAAGCGGGCUUUUCCUCAUGCACCUUUUAUUCAGGCAUUUAUCGAGAGUGUAGCUCCCUUUCCCAUUGCACGCACUCAUAUACAUGAGAGAUGGGUCAUCCCACCUCACAUGGCGGUUGACCAUGUUCCUCCUCCUCCCGCUACUGCUAGUCGCACCGCCGCUAGUUUUCCUUCUCACGCUACCCAUCCUCCUUCCAGUGAUGCCCCCUUUGGGCGCAUUGCUCGUUUUCUUGGGAAGGCUCAUUCAGCCAUGAUGAAGAUGUUCACCUACCAUUGCUCCCAACACCACGAUGUGGUCACUCGCAUGGUCACUUCCAAGAACGCUCUGAAGGCUCGUCUGAGAGACUCGGGUGUAUAUGAUGUGAGUGAUGAUGAGCGUCUUCUUGCAGAUCCCCCUUGUGAUUUUGGUUUUCCCUCCGGUCCUGAGUGGGCUGAUUUCUUCGACGAGGCUGGUGGCAGUGGUGUUCAUGAUGAUGAUGAUGAGGAUGAUCUUUAAUGCUGUUAUGUCAUUCCCCCUAGUUCUUUUCUUUGGAUACUUGAUGCCAAAGGGGGAGUAGGCUCCAUAUGCAUGUUACUCUAGCUCAUUAUGUAAUCGAACCUAUGUUAUGAGUAGUUUGUUGAACUAUGUUAUGAGUUUGUUGAAUAUGAGAUUUGGUGAAUCUAUAUGAAGUGUAACUCUUGAUUAUCGUGGCAUCAGUUUGAGGGGGAGCCCUCACCAUUUUUGUUUUAGUAGUAUCUGUGGUAUCACUUUGAGGGGGAGCUCGCUCGCUACUCAUUCUUAUUAUGGUUAUUGAGCUCCACAACAAAUACUUCCGAUUACUAUUAUGAGUAUGCAUAUGAGUUGUCAUCAACUACCAAAAAGGGGGAGAUUGAAAGUGCAAUCAUGCCCUUAAUCAUAUUUUGAUGUUGAUGACAACACAUAUGCUCGGGACUAAUCAUGUUUAUCAAGUAUAUCUCAGGAUUAUGUUCCAAAGAUUGUGUGCAUGGAUCAUGACUAGGGACAAAAGCAUAUAACUCAAGAAUGGAGAUACAAGAUGUUGACUUCAUUUAUGGUUUGUUCUUGAGUAUAGGGAUCCCGCACUAUUAAGAGGGGAUCGAUGGAUCUGUAAAAAACUUGCUCAAAAGUUGCUAUCUAUAUACCUUGCCUUCGGACGUCCGGUGUUCUACGGACGUCCAGUCCUUCCUGAUUGCCUGGACGUCCGGACACUUCCGGACGUCCGACACUUCCACAACUGAAACAUUUUUACGGAUGCCCAGAACCCUCCGGACGUCCGACACUUUCACAUCAGAAGCAUUCUUACGGAUGUCCGGCCCCGCUCGGACGUCCGUAUCCUGUACACUGGAUUGUGGGUCACACUUUUCACAGCGGCCGGUCGUCCGAUGACUGUCGGACGUCCGGACCCGUUUGGGCCUCCGGACGUCCGACGUUCUCCGGAUGUCCGGCCAUCCUGUACCCCAAACGGUCACUUUUUCCCACCACCUAUAUAUACACCCUUCCCUUCCACGGGAUAGGGUUGACCAUUCACUUUGAGCCUCACAAGAACACUCCUCACUCUCUCUCUCUCUCUCAUUCAUCCACACUAAAUCCUAGAUUCCCAAGUGUUCUAGGAGCAUUUUGAGAGAAGUUCUCCAAUCAAGUGAUAGAUCCACUUCUUCCCCUUCUUUGCACCAAAGGAAUUCGUGACUUGAGCAAGUUUUGAGCAUUUCCCCAUCGGUCUUGUUACUCUUGGAGGUUGGAGACUCCUAGGCGGUAGGAGUCAUCCGGAGAGGAAUCAAACUUUGUGAUUACCCUCGGAAAAGUUUGUGAGGGUUUGGAGACCACCCCAAGGUCUACCACUAGUGGUUGAGAAACGCCUCCGUGGUGUUGUCUCAAAGGGAGAAUAGGGUGAGCCUUCGUGGCGUUGGUGUGCCUUCGUGGUAACAUCCAUCCCUCUAACGGUGACUAGCUUCCCUCCAAGGAAGUGAACAUCGGCUUACAUCCUCGUCUCCCGGAGUUGCGGUUAUUCCUAACCUUAACUCUCUACUUGUGGUUACUUGUCUCUUUACACUUGCGUACAUUAUAUUGUGCUUGCCUACUUACGUGUUUGUGUUAUUUGCUUAGUACUUUGUGCUUACGUGCAAUUGUUAGGCUCAUCUUCAUAUUCCGCAUUAUUGCCUAAAAAUUGUCAAGUAAUAAUUAAAAUUUGUAAUUGUAUCUAUUCACCCCCCCUCUAGGUCCAUCUCGAUCCUUUCAAACUCGCACUCAUGGGCUUUGCCACCUUCUUUGAUAUUGAUACCGUGGCCCUCUUGUGGAGCCAGACUCUUAAAGUAGCCUUUGUUGGGCAUGUCGAGAACGGUCUCUAUGUGAUUAACUUUUCGGAGCAACCCACUAAGACCGCGACAUGCCUAAUGGCUAAAGUUGAUGUGGGAUGGCUUUGGCAUCGCCGUUUAGCCCACGUCAAUAUGAGAUCUUUGCAAAGUCUUCUCAAGGGGGACCAUGUUCAUGGACUAACGAAUGUUAGUUUUGCCAAAGAUCGUGUUUGCAGUGGUUGUAUCGAAGGAAAGCUUCAUGAGACAGCUCACCCUCCCACGACUAUCAUCUACUCGAAGAGACCCUUGGAGCUCCUGCACAUGGACCUCUUCGGGCCUCCAUCCUUUGAUAGUCUUGGGGUAGAAAGUAUUGCUUGGUGAUUGUGGAUGAUUAUUAAAGAUACACUUGGGUAUACUUCUUCAAGAGGAAGAGUGAGACUCAACAAACUGUCAUCGACUUUGCAAAUGAAGCUCAACAUCAACAUAAUGCAAAGAUCCUGACAAUAAGAAGUGACAAUGGCACCGAGUUCAAGAACUACACCUUGGAUGAGUUUCUUAGUGAUGAAGGGAUCAAGCAUCAAUAUUCUGCACCAUAUACCCCUCAACAAAAUGGUGUUGCAGAGAGGAAGAACCGGACUUUGAUGGAUGCGGCAAGGACCAUGAUGGCGGAGUUCAAGUCUCCAUACAACUUUUGGUCCGAAGCCAUCAACACAGCAUGCCAUGCAUCCAAUCGGCUCUAUCUCCGCAAAGGCUUGAACAAGACUCCGUAUGAGAUACUCACCGGGAACAAGCCCAAUCUCAAGUACUUCCGGGUGUUCGGGUGUAAGUGUUUCAUUCUCAAGAAAGGUGUUCGGUUGUCUAAAUUCGAGGCUAGAGCUCAUGAGGGCAUAUUUGUUGGUUAUGCUACAAACUCUCAUGCUUACCGUGUUCUCAACAAGUCCAACGGACUCAUUGAGGAGACGUGUAACAUAGAGUUUGAUGAAAAUAACGGCUCCCAAGUGGAGCAAAGUGGUACUUGUGAUGUAGGUGAUGAAAUUCCUCCCCAAGCCAUAAGAAGAAUGGGUAUUGGUCAUAUCUUACCCAUUGAGGAACCCCUUGUGGCCGAAGGUGAAGGACAAUGCUCCACCUUUGUGGAGCCUUCACCUACUCAAGACCCACAUGCUUCCGAAGAACAAAGUGAAGGCCCUCAAUCUCGGGAACAAGACCAAGGGCAAGAUCAAUCUCAAGAUGGUGGUGAACCUCCACAUGAUGCCCAAGGUCAAGUUCUUCCCCUCGAGCAAGUUCAAGAUCAAGAACAAGCUCUUGACGACGCUCAAGAUGAUCAAGUGAACCCUCCUCCUUCGACAUCCGAGGAGGAAUUGGAGCGUCGUGCCGCGAAGAUUGCUUCCAAACUCACCACCAAAGGUCAUCUCAUGGAGAAUGUGGUUGGAAGCCUAAGAAAGGGGGUAAGCACUCGUAGACAAUUAGCAAACUAUUGUGAACAUCACGUGUUUGUCUCUUGUGUUGAACCCCAUAAGGUCUAUGAGGCACUCGAAGACUCGGAUUGGCUCAAUGCCAUGCAUGAAGAACUCAACAACUUCAAGUACAACAAGGUGUGAAGGUUGGUGCCAAGGCCUUCCGGGAACCAUAACAUCAUUGGAACCAAGUGGAUCUUCAAGAACAAGCAAGAUGCUCAUGGGAACAUCAUUCGCAACAAGGCAAGAUUGGUAGCACAAGGCUACUCCCAAGUCGAGGGUAUCGACUAUGGUGAAACCUUUGCUCCCGUUGCUCGCCUUGAAUCCAUUCGUUUGUUGAUUGCUUAUUCUUCCCAUCACAACUUUAAGUUGCAACAAAUGGAUGUUAAAAGUGCUUUUCUUAAUGGUCCUAUUAAUGAGUUGGUCUAAAUCAAGCAACCCCCCGGGUUCGAGGAUCCCUUCUUCCCGGAUCAUGUGUAUCAACUCGAUAAGGUGCUCUAUAGCCUUAAACAAGCCCCACGUGCGUGGUAUGACCACCUUACCGAGUUGUUACAAGAUCGUGGAUUUGAAGUGGGGCUAAUCGAUCCCACUCUUUUUACUAAGAAGGUCACAGGGGAGUUGUUUGUAUGCCAACUAUAUGUUGAUGACAUUAUCUUUGGUUCCCCUAACAAAGCUUUCAAUGAAGAAUUUGCCGCUCUCAUGACCUCUAAGUUCAAGAUGUCGUCGAUGGGAGAGUUGAAGUUCUUCCUUGGUUUUGAUAUCAAACAAAGAAGAGAAGGUACCUUCAUCAACCAAGCCAAAUACACUCAAGACAUGCUCAAGAGAUUCAAGCUAAGUGAUGUCAAGCCGGCCUCUACUCCAAUGCCCACCAAGUGCCAACUUGACAUUGAUCCCAAUGGUAAAGCGGUGGAUCAAAAGGUAUAUCGCUCCAUGAUUGGCUCCUUGCUUUACCUUUGUGCAUCUAGACCGGAUAUCAUGUUGAGUGUGGGGAUAUGUGCACGAUUUCAAGCUGCACCGAAGGAAAGUCACUAUGUGGCGGUCAAGCGGAUCUUUCGAUAUUUGUCUCAUACCCCAAACUUUGGCUUAUGGUACCCAAGAGGGGCAAACUUCAAGCUUGAAGGAUUUACGGAUUCCGAUUGGGCGGGAGACAAAGUGGAUAGGAAGUCCACUUCUGGAGGGUGCCAGUUUCUUGGGUGCUCUUUGGUGAGUUGGUCUUCCAAAAAGCAAAGUUGUGUAUCUCUCUCGUCCACCGAAGCUGAAUAUGUGGCGGACGGUAGUUGUUGUGCACAACUCUUAUGGAUGAGGCAAACUUUAAAGGAAUACAGUGUCAUUUGUGACAAAGUGCCUCUUUGGUGUGACAACGAAAGUGCCAUCAAGAUUUCUCUCAACCCGGUGCAACACUUCAAGACGAAGCAUAUUGAGAUUCGGUAUCAUUUCAUCCGGGAUCACAUUAGGGGAGGAGAGAUCAAGCUCAAGUAUGUCAACACUCAUGAUAACCUUGCAGAUAUUUUCAUGAAUCCCUUGGAUGAAGCAAGAUUUCGCGAGUUAAGGCAUGAGCUAAAUAUCAUUGAUUCGAGCAAUGUGACUUGAACCCUUGCACACCCCACCCCACUCAACUUGGUGUCUAGCUUAGGUGUAGGCAUGGACAUAGGGGGAGUGUUGUUCUCUCAAUGAACUCUCCCUCCCCCCAUUAUGCAUAAAACGAUCAACUCUUUUCAUUAGCCAUUUUUGAUGGUACUUGUGCUUCAAAGACGAGUUUUGGUCAUGGGCCCAAGGAUAAUUCUUCGCGGUGCCAUACCAAUUGACUCAAUCAUAGGUGGCUCCGGCCACCGCCCUCUCCUGAGAGAGGCCAGAGCUCGCUCUGUUUCCUGUGGUUGUUUGUGUUUGAGUGGUUUCUGUUCCGUUGUGUGUGUGUGUUGCCGUGUCGGUCCUCUCGUUCCUUUGGCCUUUGCUUUCCGUUUUUUUUGGAGCGUUAGCCGUUGGUCUAGAAGCCGUGUGUUUGCUGAAGCGGUACUACCGCUGGUGGCGAGCGGUACUACCGCUCCUAGCGGUACUACCACCCUCCAGCGUGGUACUACCGUUGUGAGGCGCGGGCAGGGGGUUAUAUCGGGGGCAGGGGGGUUUCCUCUCCCCCAUAACCAUUCGCUCGCCCCUUUCACCCUGUUCGUCUUUCUCUUCAGCAACCGGCGCCGCGGGAGGGCUCCGGCGGAUCUCCCUCUCCGGGGCGCUCCUCUCCGUUUCCUUCGGUGGAAUCGAUCCCCACCUUGUCCUCUUGCCAUGGAUGCCGGUAUUGCCCCCGUUCUCUGUUUCCUUUUGUCUAGAUUUCCAAUCUAGCUUUUUAGGGGCAAUAGCAGUUGAAUCUCUAGAUUUUUGUCCAGAUCUAGGCUUGAGUAGGAUGGAGAAUGCUUCUAGACAGUUUGGAUUAGUGUUUGGUUGGAGUAUUUUUGAAUUUGGUAGGACGGUAGUACCGGAUCUGACCACGGCAGUACGAAACUGCUGUUUCCCCGCCUCGAGCAGUACUACCGCUCUCCCAGAGCGGUACUACCGCUUGGAGCGGUACUACUGCUCUCUCCAGAGCGGUACUACCACUUGGAGCGGUACUACCGCUCACGGGUCACGGUACUACCGCCCUUCUACCAAUUUCCAUCAUACUCCUACCUAUCAGUGAUCCUGUUUGUUCGUGUUUGUGGCUUACGCUCGUUCUUUCUGGUUGUUUGCGUGUUUGUGUGUGUGGUUCCAGGUGAUGAUGUUCCUGAGCAUCAGGCUCGUCGUGUCAACGCCGGACGUGCCUCGUCCAAGCGCUACCGCACCACUGAGCCUGCCGGAGGAUCUUCUAGUGCUCCACCUCCUCCUCAACUGCAGAAGAAGCCUGGGGUCAAGCCAAAGUCAGGCAAAACCGUGCCAGAAAUGUUGCCCAAGGAGUUCUGGGCAAGGCGCCGCCGCAACCCGUAUGAGGUCGACCAAGAUCCCACUUUGGUCAACCGUCCGUUCUAGAACAGGUUCCAGUUUGCCAUCUUCUUUGAUGUCCUCAAAGCCAAGAAGAAUCUCUAUGUCAACAUGCACUCCAUCGACACCGAGCAUAUGGAGAACGAUCCUGACUACUUUGGUGAAGCUCUUCAGAUGUGCACUCAACUGAACAUUCUUGGGAUCAUGCAAUUCAACAAGGACUACGAUGCUGAUAUUGUGGCCCAAUUCUAUGCCACGGUUCACCUUGGGACUGAUGAGGACAGGACACUGACUUGGAUGACAAAUGGCAAGUUGCUUUUAGUCAAGUGGAAAGCUUUCAUGCAGUUGAUUGGGGUGGAAGAUUUAGGUCUUGAGUCUCCUGUCGGCUUUCGCCCCCACCGUCGCGUCAAUGCCACCCACAAGCAAGCUCUUUGGCCCUACUGCACUUUGAGGAUCAACCCUGAGAUGAAGAAGGAAACCUAUGAGCUGCCUGCCUAUCUGGAUAUCCUUCACCGUAUCUUCAGAGAGACUCUUUUCCCUCGUAUCGGGAAUCUGGACCAGGUUCACUCCUAUCUCGUGGGCAUGUUUCUCUUCUACCAGCGUGAGAAGGGACAGAACACCGGAGAGUCCUUGGAUAUCUCUCAUGUUAUGUGGCCUGAGCUGCUUUCUGCUAUCUCCGAGCGCAAGUGCCCGAUUUAUGGUCCGUUCAUUAUGCUGCUCAUUGAGAAGGCCUGGGAUCGUGUCUAUCCCAAGGUGGUGCUGGAGAUUGGAGAGUUGGUUUCUCACGAUGUCAAGUGUCUGAGGAAGAAGGAUAACUGGGGCACUCAGGCCCCUAGGACUGGAGUUCCUUCAUCUGCUGCUGCCAUGGAGACUGAGGAGGAGAUUGGGGCUAAGGCUGAGGAUGAAGAUGAUGACUACGUGCCUUCUGAGGUAGAGCCCUCUUGGGCCAAGAAGCUCAAGAUCAAGGUGAAGAAGCUGUUAUGCAUGGAGUCUCACGGUCAGUACAUGACUCAUGUGGCUGAGAAGAAGGCCCGAGGUCGCCACAAGGAGCUCAUGCGUCAGAUGGGUGCUAUUGUGAUUAGUAGUUCUGAGGAUCAGCUUACCGAGGAGGAGGAGUGGAUUCAGCAGCACUGCCCUUGGACUAAUUCUGAUGCUGAGCACUUCCUGGCUGACGAUAGUGGCGCAGAUGAUCCCUCUGAGAUCUGAUGUGUGUCCCUCAUUUGCCAUCACCUGGAGCAGUAGCAGCACUCCCUCUCCUUUUUGGUGUCUCGAUGCCAAAGGGGGAGAGAGUUUAGGGAUUUGUGCUUUGCUUCUUUCGUCUUCUGUGUUUGUGUUUUCGCCUGUUGCUUUAUUUGGUUUGUGUCAGUGAGACCUAAGUUCUGGUUCUGUCAGUGAGACCUAAGCUCGAGUCAUAUGGUGUGAGACAUAUGCUACCUUACCUUUCCAGUAUCAUUAUCUAUGUCUAUCUAGCUUAUGAGUUGCUUGCUUAUCCUGUUAUCUAUAUGUUGCUCUCAUAUAUCUUGCUUAGGUAGUUGGUCCCUAAAUUGUAGGGGGAGCAUUGUUCCUGGCAUCUGUGCCGUGCAGUCCAAAGAACUUAUCUAGGUAGCACACAUCCAGGGGGAGCCCUUCUACAUUUUAGGACGGUUGUGCUUUUGUGCUUACCCUUUAUCUAUCAUUUUGUGCAAAUCCCGUAUUGUCAUCAAUCCACCAAAAAGGGGGAGAUUGUAAGGGCAUAUUUAUCCCCAAGAUGUUUUGGUGAUUGAUGACAAUGCUUGUGCGGACUAAUCGUGUGCGUUAAGUUCUUUCAGAGAUUCAUCCAUUGGCACGAGAUGAUUUCCUCCCCUCGGUGUUGUUUUCAAGACGGUGUAGCUCCUUCAUUUCGUUGUUGGUGGACUAGUUUCGUAGGAGUCACCGUACUAUCAAGAGGGGAUCCGCUUUGGUAAGACUUGGGUGGAAUCACACGUACACAUCCUUAUCUCACCCGUCGUCUUUCCUUCCGCCUCAUUGGAGCUGUCUUUCUUCCCCUGAGUAUGCCUCAUCCUGCCCCAGCGGUAUUACCGCUCCCAGAGCGGUAGUACCGCUUGUGGUGCUCUGCCGUAGUACCGCUGUGCAUCUGGGCUACUACCGCCUCGAUUCUCGAACGAAGUUUUUUGUGUCGGGUUUUGCGGCACUAAGGGCGGUAGUACCGCUCCAAGCAGUAGUACCACGCCUACCCCCACGGUAGUACCGCCCUGGGACCAGGGCUCUGUCUGCGCGGCAGUACCGCUGGGUAGGAGCGGUAGUACUGCCCGAAGCGGUAGUACCGCCCUUCUCUAGCGGUAGUACCGCCCUGGGGUCAGGGCCCUGUCAGCGCGGCAGUACCGCUGGGUUUGUGCGGUAGUACCGCCCUGAGCGGUAGUACGGCCCUUCCCUAGCGGUAGUACCGCUCUGUGCGGGGCUGCUCAGUGGAAUAACGGUUGGUUUGAGCCCCCCACUAUAUAAAGGGGUCUUCUUCCCCAAAGUUGACCUACCUCUUUCCCCCAAAGCUCCAUUGUUGCUCCAAGCUCCAUUUUCGCCCGAUCUCUCUCCCUAGCCAAUCAAACUUUUUGAUUUGCUCGGGAUUGGUUGAGAAGGCCCAGAUCUACACUUCCACCAAGAGAAAUUUGAUUCCCCCCACUUAUCCCUAGCGGAUCUUGUUACUCUUGGGUGUUGAGCACCCUAGACGGUUGAGGUCACCUCGAAGCCAUACUCCAUUGUGGUGAAGCUUCGUGGUGUUGUUGGGAGCCUCCAAGUGUUGUGGAGAUAGCCCCAAUAUUGUUUGUAAAGGUCCGGUUGCCGCCUUCAAAGGCUCCAAUAGUGGAAUCACGGCAUCUCGCAUUGUGUGAGGGCGUGAGGAGAUUACGGUGGCCCUAGUGGCUUCUUGGGGAGCAUUGUGCCUCCACACCGCUCUAACGGAGACGUACUUCCCUUUAAAAGGAAGGAACUUCGGUAACACAUCCUCGUCUCCACUGGCUCCACUCUUGGUUAUCUUGUCCCUUCUUUUGCAAGCUUACUUGAGUUAUAUCCAUUGCUUGCUUGUGUGCUUAUUGUCUUUGCAUCAUAUAGGUUGUCCACGUAGUUGCACAUCUAGACAACCUAUUUCAUUACAAGGUUUAAAUUGUUAAAGAAAAGUCUAAAAAUUGUUAGUUGCCUAUUCACCCCCCCUCUAGUCAACCAUAUCGAUCCUUUCACAUAUGUCAUUAUUUCCAGACACACAAGGGUCUGCGUCAAGGAGAUCCGAUGUCGCUGAUUCUGUUCAACAUAGCCGUUGACAUGUUGACAAUCCUAAUAGGAAGGGCCAAGGAUGAUGGUCAGGUAGGUGGCCGCGCCCCGCAUUUAGUUGACGGGGGAGUGUCUAUCCUACAAUAUGAUGAUGAUACUAUCAUCUUUAUGGAGCAUGAUUUGGCUAAAGCUAGAAACAUGAAGCUAGUUUUAUGCUUGUUCGAACAAUUGUCGGGGUUGAAGAUUAACUUCCACAAAAGUGAAUUGUUCUACUUUGGAAGAGCUAAAGAAGAACAACAAGCUUACAAAGAAUUGUUCGGGUGCGAAUUGGGAUCUCUACCCUUCACGUUUUUGGGUAUACCAAUCCACCGUCGCAAGCUUUCUAACAAAGAGUGGAAGAGCAUUGAAUAUCGAUUUGAGAAUAAACUGAGUUACUGGAAGGACAAGCUUAUGUCAUACGGAGGACGAUUGAUCUUGAAUAAUUCGGUUCUCACAAGUAUGCCUAUGUUUUUAUUGUCUUUUUUCGGAGUACCAGUUGGAGUAUGAAAAAGAUUUCUAUCGAUCACGCAUCUUCUGGCAGAGCGAUGAAUUAAAAAGAAAACACAGACUUGCUAAGUGGGAUAUCAUUUGUAGGCCGAAAGACCAAGGGGGUCUAGGCAUUGAAAAUUUAGAGGUGAAGAACAGAUGUCUUCUCAGCAAGUGGCUGUAAUAAGUUAUCUGUAGAGACGGGUGCCACUUGGGCACAAAUUCUUCAUAAUAAGUACCUCCAGUCCAAAACUUUGUCCCAGGUGACGGUAAGACCGACUGAUUCGCCUUUUUGGAAGGGACUCAUGCGAGUGAAAUCAACCUUUUUCAAUAGGACAAAAUUUGUAGUUGGAAAUUGUACUUCCACAAGAUUAUGGGAGGAUACAUGGCUAGGGGAGACACCCCUUGCGAUCCAAUAUCCUUCUCUCUAUAAUAUUGUUUAGUGAAGAGAGGCUUACGUUGCAACAGUACUACAGUCAAAUCCUAUUAAUAUUCAAUUUAGGAGGACGCUAGUGGGAAACCGUUGGGAAGCUUGGCUCCAUCUUUUGAGAAGAUUGAUGGAUGUCCAACUUUCUCAACAGCUAGAUCAGCAAUGCUAGAAACUAGCUAAGAAUGCGGAGUUUUCGGUUAAAUCCAUGUAUUUGGAUAUUAUCAAAGCUAGAGUUAUUCCUAGAUCGAAACACGUUUGGAAAGUCAAAGUGCCUUUAAAAAUCAAAGUGUUUAUGUGGUUUGUCCACAAACAGGCCAUCUUUGUUGGGGAACGUAGUAAUAAUUCAAAACUUUCCUACGUCUCACCAGGACCAAUCUAGGAGAUACUAGCAACGAGAGAGAGAGAGAGGGAGAGGGAGAGGGAGGGAGUGCGUCUUCAUACCCUUGAAGAUCGCUAAGCGGAAGUGUUACAAGAACGUGGUUGAUCGAGUCGUACUCGCGGUGAUUCAAAUUGCGGAAGAUCCGAUCUAGCGCCAAACGGACGUCUCCUCCGCGUUCAACACACGUACAGCCUGGGGACGUCUCCUCCUUCUUGAUCCAGCAAGGGGAGAGGAGAAGUUGAGGGAGAGCUCCGGCAGCACGACGACAUGGUGGUGGAGCUUGUGGUUCUCCUGUAGGGCUUCGCCAAGCACUACGGAGGAGGGAGGGGCUGCACCAGGGAAGGGUGCUCGCUACCCUCCCACCCACCCUCUAUUUAUAGGGUGAAGGCGAGAGGGGGUCGGCCCCUCUAGAUCCCAUCUAGAGGGGGGCGGCGGCCAGAGGAAACCCUAGAUGGGUUUGGGCACCCCCCCCACCCCUAGGAAACUUGCCCCCCAAGCCGGGAGGGGCUGCUUCCCUAGGGGAGGCGCCCCCACCUCUCCAUGUUACGUGAGAUGGGGUGGGAGGGGCGCACGGCCCCUUAGUGGGCUGGUGUGCCCCCUCCCCUUGGCCCAUAAGGCCCCCCAACACUUGUCGGGGCCUCCGAAACUCCUUUCGGUCACACUGGUCAUCACCCGGUACCCUAGGAACAAUUCUGGACUCCAAUAUAAUACCCUUUGUCCAAUAUACCGAUCUUCACCUGCGGACCAUUUCGGAACUCCUCGUGAUGUCCGGGAUAUCAUCUGGGACUCCGAACAACCUUCGAUAACCCCAUACAAUUUCCCAUAACAACUCUAGCGUCACCGAACCUUAAGUGUGUAGACCCUACGGGUUCGGGAACCAUGCAGACAUGACCGAGACGUUCUCCAGCUAAUAACCAACAGCGGGAUCUGGAUACCCAUGUUGGCUCCUACAUGUUCCACAAUGAUCUCAUCGGAUGAACCACGAUGUCGGCUCAUAUACAAUUCCCUUUGUCCAUCAGUAUGUUACUUGCCCGAGAUUCGAUCGUCGGUAUCCCUUGUUCAAUAUCGUUACCGGCAAGUCUCUUUACUCGUCCCGUAACGCAUGAUCUCGUGGCUAACUCAUUAUUCACAUUGAGCUCAUUAUGAUGAUGCAUUAUCGAGUGGGCCCAGAGAUACCUCUCCGUCAUCGGAGUGACAAAUCCCAGUCUCGAUUCGUGCCAACCCAACAGGCACUUUCGGAGAUACCUGUAGUGCACCUUUAUAGCCACCCAGUUACGUUGUGACGUUUGGUACACCCAAAGCACUCCUACGGUAUCCGGGAGUUGCAUAAUCUCAUGGUCUAAGGAAAUGAUACUUGACAUUAGAAAAGCUCUUAGCAAACGAACUACACGAUCUUGUGCUAUGCUUAGGAUUGGGUCUUUUCCAUCACAUCAUUCUCCUAAUGAUGUGAUCCUAUUAUCAAUGACAUCCAAUGUCCAUGGUCAGGAAACCAUAACCAUCUAUUGAUCAACGAGCUAGUCAACUAAAGGCUCACUAGGGACAUGUUGUGGUCUAUGUAUUCACACAUGUAUUACGGUUUCCAGUUAAUACAAUUAUAGCAUGAACAAUAGACAAUUAUCGUGAACAAGGAAAGAUAAUAAUAACCAUUUUUAUUAUUGCCUCUAGGGCAUAUUUCCAAUAGUCUCCCACUUGCACUAGAGUCAAUAAUCUAGUUCACAUCACUAUGUGAUUGUAAUGAAUCCAACACCCAUGGGGUUUGAUCCUCGCUUGUGAGAGAGGUUAUUAGUCAACGGGUCUGAACCCUUCAGAUCCGUGUGUGCUUUACAAAUCUCUAUGUCAUCUUGUAGAUGCAACUACCACGCACUAUUUGGAACUAUUCCAAAUAACUGUUCUACCAUAUGAAUCCGGUUUACUACUCAGAGUCAUCCAGAUUAGUGUCAAAGUUUGCAUCGACGUAACCAUUUAUGACCAACUCUUUUACCACCUCCAUAAUCAAGAAAAUUCCUUAGUCCACUAAGGAUAACUUUGAGCAUUGUCUAGUGAUCCAUUCCUGGAUCACUCUUGUACCCCUUGACUGACUCAUGGCAAGGCACACUUCAGGUGCGGUACACAACACAGCAUACUGUAGAGCAUAGGGGACGACCUUCAUCCUUUCUCUCUCCUCUGCCAUGGUCAGGUCUUGAGUCUUACUCAAUACUCACACCUUAUAACAGAGCCAAGAACUCCUUCUUUGUCGAUCUAUUUUGAACUCCUUCAAAAUCUUGUCACGGUACGUAUUCAUUUGAAAGUACUAUCAAGCGAUUUUGAUCUAUCCUUAUAGAUCUUGAUGCUCAAUGUUCAAGUAGCUUAAUCUAGGUUUUCCAUUGAAAAACACUUUUCAAAUAACCCUAUAUGCUUUCUAGAAAUUCUACAUCAUUUCCGAUCAACAAUAUGUCAACAACAUAUACUCAUCAGAAAUUCUAUAGUGCUCCCACUCACUUCUUUGGAAAUACAAGUUUCUCAUAAACUUUGUACAAACCCAAAAUCUUUGAUCAUCUCAUCAAAGCGUAUAUUCCAACUCCGAGAGGCUUACUCCAGUCCUUAGAAGGAUUGCUGGAGCUUUGCAUACUUGUUAGCAUCUUUUAGGAUUGACAAAACCUUCUGGUUGUAUCACAUACAACCUUUCCUCAAGAAAAUCAUCGAGGAAACAUUGUUUUGACAUCCUAUCUGCAAGAUUUCAUAAAUAAUGCAGUAACUACUAAUAUAAUUCCAACAGACUCUUAGCAUCUCUACGAGUGAGAAAGUCUCAUCGUAGUCAACUCUUUGAACUUGUCGGAAAACAUCUCAGCGACAAGUCAAGCUUUCUUAAUGGUGACACUUACCAUCAUUGUCCGUCUUCCUUUUAAAAUCCAUCCGUACCCAACAGCCUUACGACCAUCAAGUAGUUCUUCCGAAGUCUACACUUUGUUUUCAUACAUGGAUCCUCUCUUAGAUUUUAUGGCCUCGAGCCAUUUGUUGGAAUCCGGGCCCACCAUCGCUUCUCCAUAGCUCGUAGGUUCAUUGUUGUCUAGCAACAUGACCUCCAAGACAGGAUUACCAUACCACUCUGAAGCAAAACACGUCCUUGUCGACCUACGAGGUUUGGUAGUGACUUGAUCCGAAGUUUCAUGAUCACUAUCAUCAGGUUCCACUUCAACUGGUGUAGGUGCCACAGGAACAACUUCCUGUGCCCUGCUACACACUAGUUGAAGUGAUGGUUCAAUAACCUCAUCAAGUCUCCACCAUGCUCCCACUCAAUUCUUUUAAGAGAAACUUUUCAUCGAGAAAGGACCCGUUUCUAAAAACAAUCACUUUUGCUUCCAGAUCUGAGAUAGGAGGUAUACCCAACUAUUUUGGGUGUCCUAUGAAGAUGCAUUUAUCCGUUUUGGGUUCGAGCUUAUCAGGAUGAAACUUUUUCACAUCAGCGUCGCAGCCCCAAACUUUUAAGAAACGACAACUUAGGUUUCCCUAAACCAUAGCUCAUAUGGUGUCAUCUCAACAGAAUUACGUGGUGCCCUAUUUAAAGUGAAUGCGGUUGUCUCUAAUGCAUAACCCAUAAACGAUAGUGGUAAUUUGAUAAGAGACAUCAUGGUAUGCACCAUAUCCAAUAAGGUGCAGCUAUGAUGUUCGGACACACCAUCACACUAUGGUGUUCCAAGCGGUAUUAGUUGUGAAACAAUUUCCACAAUGUCUUAAUUUUGUACCAAACUCGUAAGUCAGAUAUUCAUCUCUAUGAUCAUAUCAUAGACAUUUUAUGCUCUUGUCACGACGAUCUUCAACUUCACUCUGAAAUUACUUGAACCUUUCAAUAAUUCAAACUUGUGUUUCAUCAAGUAAAUAUACUUAGUAUCUACUCAAAUCAUCUGUGAAGUAAGAACAUAACGAUGUCCACUGCUUGCCUCAGCACUCAUUGGACUGCACACAUCAAAAUGUAUUACUUCCAACAAGUUGCUUUCUUGUUCCAUCUCACUGAAAAUGAGGCCUUUCACUCAUCUUGCCCAUGUGGUAUGAUUUGCAUGUCUCAAGUGAUUCAAAAUCAAGUGAGUCCAAACGAUCCAUCUGCAUGGAGUUUCUUCAUGCGUUUAUACCAAUAUGACUCAAAUGACAGUGCCACAAGUAGGUGGUACUAUAUCAUUACUAUCUUAUAUCUUUUGGCAUGAACAUGUGUAUCACUACAAUCGAGAUUCAAUAAACCAUUCAUUUUAGGUGCAAGACCAUUGAAGGUAUCAUUCAAAUAAACAGAGUAACCAUUAUUCUCCUUAAAUGAAUAAUCUAUUGCGAUAGACAUAAUCCAAUCAUGUCUAUGCUCAGCGCAAACACCAAAUAACAAUUAUUUAGGUUUAACACCAAUCCCGAUGGUAGAGGGAGCGUGCGAUGUUUGAUCACAUUAACCUUGGAAACACUUCCAACACAUAUAGUCACCUUGCUUUUAGCUAGUCUCCGUUUAUUACGUAGCCCUUUUAUUUCGAGUUACUAACACUUAGCAACCGAACCGGUAUCUAAUACCCUGGUGCUACUAGGAGUACUAGUAAAGUACACAUUAAUAUAAUGUAUAUCCAAUAUACUUCUGUCGACCUUGCCAGCCUUCUCAUCUAUCAAGUAUCUAGGGUAGUUCUGCUUCAAUGACCGUUCCCCUCGUUAAAGAAGCAUUUAGUCUCGGGUUUGGGUUCAACCAUGGGUUUCUUCACUAGAGCAGCAACUAAUUUGUCGUUUCAUGAAGUAUCCAUUCUUGCCCUUACCCUUCUUGAAACUAGUGGUUUUACUAACCAUCAACAAUUGAUGCUCCUACUUGAUUUCUACUUCAGCGAUUGAGCUUUUUUCCCUUUGUAGGCUAAGAAACUCGUCGGAGGUCUCAUACCUCUUGACGUGGGCACAAACCUGAAAUCCCAAUUUCAGCCCUUGGAACAUCUCACAUGUUCUGCGACGUUUCAAAAAACGUCUUCGGCGCGUCAAUUCUAAACCGUUUAGCAUUACACAAUGAACUAUCAUGUAGUCAUCAAAACGUGUAUGUCAGAUGUUCGCAACAUCCACAGACGACGUUCGAGGUUCAGCACACCUAGUGUUGCAUUAAGGACAUAAGCCUUCUGCGCAGCAAUGAGGACAAUCCUCAGUUCACGGACCCAGUCCGAAUAAUUGCUACUAUCAACUUUCAACUAAUUUUUUUAGGAACAUAUCUAAAACAGUAGAACUAAAGCGUAAGCUAUGACAUAAUUUGCAAAGACCUUUUGACUAUGUUCAUGAUAAUUAAGUUCAUCUAAUCAAAUUAUUUAAUGAACUCCCCCUUAGAUAGACAUCCAUCUAGUCAUCUAAGUGAUACAUGAUCCAGAUCAACUAGGCCGUGUCCGAUCAUCACAUGAGACGGACUAGUCAUCAACGGUGAACAUCUCCAUGUUGAUCGCAUCUACCAUACGACUCAUGUUCGACCUUUCGGUCUCUCGUGUUCCAAGGCCAUGUCUGUACAUGCUAGGCUCGUCAAGUCAACCUAAGUGUUUCGCGUGUGUAAAUCUAGCUUACAUCCGUUGUAUGCGAACGUUAGAAUCUAUCACACCCGAUCAUCACGUGGUGCUUCGAAACAACGAACCUUCGCAAUGGUGCAUAGUUAGGGGGAACACUUUCUUGAAAUUUUAGUGAGGGAUCAUCUUAUUUAUGCUACCGUCGUUCUAAGCAAAUAAGAUGUAAACAUGACAAACAUCACAUGCAAAUCAUAAAGUGACAUGAUAUGGCCAAUAUCAUCUUGCGCCUUCGAUCUCCAUCUUCGAGGCACGGCAUGAUCACCUUCGUCACCGGCAUGACACCAUGAUCUCCAUCAUCAUGUUCUCCAUCAUCGUGUCUUCAUGAAGUUGUCUCGCCAACUAUUACUUCUACUACUAUGGCUAACGGUUAGCAAUAAAGUAAAGUAAUUACAUGGCGUUUUCAUUGACACGCAGGUCAUACAAUAAAUUAAGACAACUCCUAUGGCUCCUACUGGUUGUCAUACUCAUCGACAUGCAAGUCGUGAUUCCUAUUACAAGAACAUGAUCAAUCUCAUACAUCACAUAUAUCAUUCAUCACAUCCUUUUGGCCAUAUCACAUCACAUAGCAUACCCUGCAAAAACAAGUUAGACGUCCUCUAAUUGUUGUUGCAUGUUUUAUGUGGCUGCUAUGGGUUUCUAGCAAGAACGUUUCUUACCUACGUAAAAGCCACAACGGUGAUAUGCCAAUUGCUAUUUACCCUUCAUAAGGACCCUCUUCAUCAAAUCGGAUCCGACUAAAAUGGGAGAGACAGACACCCACUAGCCACCUUAUGCAACUAGCGCAUGUCAGUCGGUGGAACCUGUCUCACGUAAGUGUACGUGUAAGGUCAGUCCGGGCCGCUUCAUCCCACAAUGCCGCCGAAUCAAGAUAAGACUAGUAACGGUAAGCAAAUUGAACAAAUCAUCGCCCACAACUACUUUGUGUUCUACUCGUGCAUACAAUCUACGCAUAGACCUAGCUCUGAUACUACUGUUGGGGUACGUAGUAAUAAUUCAAAAUUUUCCUACGUCUCACCAAGAUCAGUCUAGGAGAUACUAGUAACGAGAGAGAGAGAGAAAGAGAGAGAGAGAGGGAGUGCGUCUUCAUACCCUUAAAGAUCGCUAAGCAGAAGCGUUACAAGAACGCGGUUGAUGGAGUCGUACUCGCGGCGAUUCAAAUCGCGGAAGAUCUGAUCUAGCGCCAAAUGGACGGCGCCUCCGUGUUCAACACACGUAUAGCCCGGGGACGUCUCCUCUUCUUGAUCCAGCAAGGGGAGAGGAGAGGUUGAGGAAGAGCUUCGGCAGCACGACGACAUGAUGGUGGAGCUUGUGGUUCUCCUGUAGGGCUUCGCCAAGCACUAUAGAGGAGGAGGAGGUGUUGGAGGAGGGAGGGGCUGCGCCAGGGAAGGGUGCUCGCUGCCCUCCCACCCUCCCUCUAUUUAUAGGGUGAAGGGGAGAGGGGGCGGCCCCUCUAGAUCCCAUCUAGAGGGGGGUGCGGCCAGGGGAAACACUAGAUUGGUUUGGGCGCCCCCACCCCUAGGAAACUUGCCCCCCAAGCCGGGAGGGGUUGUUGCCCUAGGGAAGGUGCCCCCACCUCUCCAGGUUACGUGAGAUGGGGUGGGAGGGGCGCACAACCACUUAGUGGGCUGGUGUGCCCCCUUCCCUUGGCCCAUAAGGCCCCCCCAACACUUGCCGGGGCCUCCAAAACUCCUUUCGGUCACACUGGUCAUCACCCGGUACCCCCGAAACAAUUCCCGACUCCAAUACCCUUCGCCCAAUAUACCGAUCUUCACCUCCGGACCAUUUCAGAACUCCUUGUGACAUCCGAGAUCUCAUCCGGGACUCCGAACAACCUUCGGUAACCACAUACAAUUUCACAUAACAACUCUAGCGUCACCGAACCUUAAGUGUGUAGACCCUACGGGUUCGGGAACAAUGCAGACAUGACCGAGACGUUCUCUGACCAAUAACCAACAGCGUGAUCUGGAUACCCAUGUUGGCUCAAUUUUUUUUCAAAAGUAGUACGUUUUUUAUAGCAAUUUCGGAAACUAGCAGUGUCGAUACGUUAUUUGCAAAACUAGCGGCCCGUCGGUCAACGGUUGGCCGAAGUGGACCUUUUCGGCCUGCGGAAGCCCGAAGACACAUCUUCGGUUAAGCCAGGCCGAAGCGUGCGCGAACUGGGCCGAAGACGGGCCUCUUCGGCCAGCCAGAGACCGAAGAUGGGCCUCUUCGGACAGCCAGCGACCGAAGAGGUCUUCGGCUUACCAGUGGCCGAAGAGUAGCGGAUAAGGCCCGAGCGGCAUCUUCUUUCUCCUCUCGUUGUUCUUCCUCUGUCUCUCUCGUUCCUCUCUGUACAUCGCCCCCCUCGCUGAUCUCUUCGUUUCUCCACCUAUUUUCGAAUCCAAAGCACAGAAACGGUAGAUCGUAGCCAUCUCCAUCGGCCUACGGUCAUUUUUUCCCAAUGGGAUAGCUAUUUGUGCGUACAAGUGAGGUGGAGUCAUGAUGGGGUGAGGAGGAGAGGCCAUGGUGGGCUGAGGAGGAGGAGGCGGUUUGGCUGGUGAGGAGGAGGUGCAGCUUCGUGCCGCCGAGGGGGUGGCGUUGGUGGUGUCUGUUGGUGCAAGUUCUUCAUGAGGUGGCCACACGCGUCGAAGGUAUAAUCACACGUCACAUUUUAUUAGUGUUAAUUGGUUUGUGUUGGCAUUUUAGCGGAUAGUUAGUGUAGCCGGUAACAAAUUUUUCAUUGCGAUUAAUUAGAAGGUGGCAAUGUCUGACAGGUGAAAAUGUCUGUAUCAGUAAAUCUGACUGUUUACUAUGGCCCUGGUAAUGUUCGAUAUAAUGAGUUGGGGGUUGAUCUUAGCGAGUUUAAAAAUGGCGUCAUGACACUUUUAGACCCGGACAGAGUGGACAUUAGACAGUUGAAGCACUAGUUGACUACUAGUUUUGGGUUGGAUUCUGAAGUAUGUUCUGUCAGUAUUCAUGCAUUGUGGACCAAAUCCUGUAAAAAUGUCAAGUGGGAGUUGAUGCCGAUAGAUAGGAGCCAGCAUUGGUUGACCCUAUUAAGUCGUUGCCGAGACUGAAGAAUCCACCCAUAUGUCCUAGUGCAGCCAGUGGCGAAGGAGGAGAAUACCGUACAACUCCAUGUGGGGUAUGAACCCGGCCAGGGUAGUCGAGUUGCUAACGAGAUUCAUUUAUCCGGGUCACAGCCACCGGAUGUGGAUCCUAGCCAAACUGAGAAGGAUUCAGACUACAUGCUGGACAAUGUUUGUGGUCAUGAUACUGGGCAGAAUAUUCAGUCGAUAAUAUUAGCCGGUUCUGGUGUUGCUGAUGGAGAUGAGGAAGGCGAUGAAAUGCAGAGGGUGAUGGAGGAAGAGAACGAUGAUGGAUAUGCAGAGGAUCUGGAUUCUAAAAAUUCUGAGGAUGAAGUGGAGGUACCGAUUCCUUCUGCAUGGAAUCAGGACAUAUCCACCGGCCUUACUGUGAAUGUGGCCAUGAGACUCCAUGGCAAUAUAAUCUGAACCAAGUCCAGAUAGGGGCUAUGUUUGAUACAAAGAAAAAAUUGAAGUAUGCAGUGAUAAAGUAGGCUAUGUCUACUCAGAGGGUUUUCCGGACAGACAGAUCAAACCCAACAAACUAUACUGUGAAGUGUGUUGAAACAGGUUGUCCUGCGAAGGUGCACGGGCACGUGCCGAAGUAUAACAUCCACUGGGUUGUCACGAAUGUGGUCCCACAUAAUUGUGUGAGGAAAAACUUGUUGGUUCGUCAUCCAAACCUGACUUCAACUCUCAUUGCGCAACUCAUGUAUACUGAGAUAGUGGAGAAAAAAGAUAUGGAAGCAAAACACAUCCAGACAGCAGUGAAGGUCAGAUGGAAUUAUGACAUUCGUUAUGGGAAGGCUUGGAGGCUAAGCAGAAGGCUAUGGAGGAAAGGUUUGGGACGUUCUUUGACUCAUAUGAUAAUGUUGUCCGUCUCCUGGAUGUACUGAAGGAGAGGAAUCCCGGCACUUAUGUUAACGUACAACAUACAAGGUUGCUGAGUAUACCAGGUUUCAAGGUGUUGAAACGAGUAUUCUUCUCUUUUGCUAUGUGCAUUGAAGCUUUCCGGCAUUGUCCUCCUGUGAUGUUUGUGGAUGGUACAUUCCUGACUGGUCAGUACAAAGGGCAAAUCCUGACUGCCAUUGGCGUGGAUGGAAACAAUCAAAUCAUUCCACUUGCCAUGGCAUUUGUGGAGGGUGAGAACUUUCUGAGCUGGGUGUGGUUCUUUCGGCAAGUGAAAAUUGCCAUCGUGAAGGAUCGACCAAACGUGUGUGUCAUUCAUGAUAGGCAUGCUGGUAUAUUGAAGGCUGUGAAGACACUAAGGAAUCCAACAGUAGACGAACCAACACCUUGGAAGGAUUUGCAGAGCCGGUGGUGCAUGCGCCAUCUUGGGGCUAACUUUUUCUCACAGUUUAAGAACAAGCGGUUGAUGAACUUGUUUAAAAAAUUGUGCAAGCAGAACCAGGAGCGUAAAUACCAAUUUAUUUGGUCAAAACUUGAUGAGUUUACUAAGAAGCAGGUCCGUGCCAGGAAGAAAAUGGAAAAGGACCAACAACAAUUAGCAACACUCAUGGUGGAGCUAGAGGAGCCAGUUGGUCUCUGUGACUUGCCAGCAAUUGACCCUCCUAAUACUAAGAGAAAGAAGGGGAGGGCAAUAAAGGAUUUUUCAGAGUGGAUAGAGAAAGAGCCUCCCGUGAAUUGGUCUUUGUUGCAUGACACCCAUGGAGCUAGGUAUGGCCACAUGACAACCAACCUUGCAGAGGUGUAUAACUUUGUACUCAGAGGGAAUAGAGCAUUGCCACUCACAGCUAUUGUGGAGGCUGUAUUCCAUGGCACUUUGAGAUAUUUCAGAGACCGACACGAGUUAGCAAAGAAGCAUAUUAUAGAUAAUCAGAACACACCUUACUGUAGCCGUGUCAUGGAGUAUAUGGCAGAGAAGAUAGAGAAAGCAAAGAAGCACACUGUGAGACUCGUAGGUAAUCAGGAAAGGAGGUAUGAGGUUCAGCUACCUACCAAUGGUUUUGGUUCUGCGAAUGAGGUGAAGACGCAUGAGGUAAAAAUUGGAACGGAAUUUUAUCCAACGUGUGAGUGUACAUGCAACAAACCAAAGUUGUUGCACCUGCCUUGCUCACAUAUGUUGGCUGCCUGUGGCCAGAUUGAGUUGGCUGCCGUCUCCUUUGUGUCGCCAUACUACUUAAAAGAGGUUGUACUAAACACAUGGACCGGUGAGAUGACAGGGUUUAGAGUCUUUGGCAAUUUCAACAAGGUUAACGACGGUGAGAGAGUAUACAUCCCGGAUCCAGAACUUCGGCGAACAAGCAGGGGUCGACGUAAGGCCCGUCGAAUCCGAAAUUAUAUGGACCAAUCUGAAGCUGGUGGAGCAACUAGACAAUGUUUGCUAUGCGCGGCUUAUGGGCAUAGGAUGAAAUAUUGUCCUGACCUGAACAAAGAUGGUGCUUCCACAUCGACGAGUGCUUCCACAUCGACGGCUGCAACAACAGGAGCAAGAGGCGGACGUGGUCGUGGCAGUCGAGGCCGAAGGGGAGGACGAGGAAGGAAUAACUCAGAAGCUAUAUAAUGUGGGGAAGAAUGUUUUAAUUUGUAAUAUCGUCUGGACUAUGUUUUAUUUUGCAAUGUCUGAACUAUGUAUUAAUUUGUAAUGUCAGCUGGACUAUAUUUUACUUUGUAUGUCCGAACUAUGUAUUAAUUUGUAAUGUCGACUGAACUAUGUUUUACUUUGUAUGUCUGAACUAUGUAUUAAUUUGCAAUGUCUGGACUAUGUUUUGAUUGCAGAUAUCAUCUUCGUCCUCGCUCUCCUCAGUCCAUAAAAAUGGAUGCUUUUCUAAAGUCCUUCUAAAAGUUUCACUCUUCGGCUCCACUACCUUCUUCCACCUUUCAUUCAACCUAAGAAGUUCUUUAUGUACCUCCGCAUAAGUCCUUUCAGGCCACCCAGCCCUACGUAAUUGGUGAGCCAACUCAUUCAUUAUGGUGUCACUACCGGUGAGUUCUUCCCAUGGAACUAUCCUAUUGUCCAUCCUGAAAUCGGUAGCUAGCCUCAGAAGAGUGCUGCUCAUCUCAGGGUGAAAACUACGAUCAAAAGGAUAAUGGGACAUCUCGACUACACUGGACUGCUUAUUCACCUCCGGGUCAAGGGGGUUUUAUAGGUAGAGAGGAGAGAAAAUGGCGGGAAAGAACGACUGGGGUAUGGAGGGAAAGAGUUGGCAGGAACAUAUGGCGGGAAAGGGUUGGCGGGAAACGGGUGGCGGGAACAUAUGGCGGGAAAGGGUUGGCGGGAAACGGGUGGCGUGAACAUAUGGCGGGAAAGGGUUGGCGGGAACAUAUGGAGGGGAAAGAGUUGGCGGGAAAAUAUUUACGGAAAGGGCUGUGCAAUUUUUUUUCAUUGCAAAAUGGUUACACAACAUUCGUAAGUCAUAAUAAAAAACCCUUUUCGGCCUACAGUAAGCAGAAGAGCGCGACCAUGCAACUUCGGUCACCUGUUCACGCAAAAAGGUGGGGCCCGGGGACUCUUCGGCCUACGGUUGACCAAAGAGUGCUCUUCGGCCUAUGGGAAGCUGAAGAGUCCUUUUCGGCCUAGUUGGGGCACACUUCGGCCAACGGGAGGCAGAAGUGCCCUCUUCGGUCAACGGCUGGCCGAAGAGCCACUCUUCGACCAAUGGGAGGCCGACGGGGUGCUAAUUUUGCAAAUAACUUGUUAGCACUGCUAAUUUCCAAAAUUGCUGUAAAAACCAUGCUAGUUUUGAAAAAAAAUCUGUUGGCUCCCACACGUUCCACAAUGAUCUCAUCGGACGAACCACAAUAUUGGGGAUUCAAUCAAUCCCGUAUAUAAUUCCCUUUGUCCAUCGGUAUGUUACUUGCCCGAGAUUCGAUCGUCGGUAUCCCUUGUUCAAUCUCGUUACCGGCAAGUCUCUUUACUCAUUCCUUGACGCAUGAUCCCGUGGCUAACUCAUUAGUUACAUUGAGCUCAUUAUGAUGAUGCAUUACCGAGUGGGCCCAGAGAUACCUCUCCGUCAUACGGAGUGACAAAUCCCAGUCUCGAUUCGUGUCAACCCAACAGGCACUUUCGGAGAUACCUGUAGUGCACCUUUAUAGCCACUCAGUUAUGUUGUGACGUUUGGUAUACCCAAAGCAUUCCUACGGUAUCCGGGAGUUGCACAAUCUCAUGGUCUAAGGAAAUGAUACUUGACAUUAGAAAAGCUCUUAGCAAACAAACUACACGAUCUUGUGCUAUGCUUAGGAUUGAGUCUUAUCCAUCACAUCAUUCUCCUAAAGAUGUGAUCCCGUUAUCAAUGACAUCCAAUGUCCAUGGUCAGGAAACCAUAACCAUCUAUUGAUCAACGAGCUAGUCAACUAAAGGCUCACUAGGGACAUGUUGUGGUCUAUGUAUUCACACAUGUAUUACGGUUUCCAGUUAAUACAGUUAUAGCAUGAACAAUAGACAAUUAUCAUGAACAAGGAAAUAUAAUAAUAACCAUUUUUAUUAUUGCCUCUAGGGCAUAUUUCCAACAAUCUUAACUAGAGACAAUUUGGCGAAGCGAAACUGGGCGGGUUCUAAAAGAUGUAGUUUUUGUGAUAGUGAUGAAUCAAUCAGACACAUCUUUCUUGAUUGCCCUUUGGCAAAUAUUUUGUGGAGGUCGGUCCACAUAGCUUUUAAUAUAACUCCUCCGAAUUUCAUCAACACGUUAUUUGGGACGUGGCUAGAUGGGAUUGACGUAGUAACAGCGACACAUAUCCGUGUAGGAGUAUGUGCUUUACUAUGGGCAAUUUGGAACUGCAGAAACGAUUUGGUUUUUAACAGAACAACAAAUAUUCAUUUCUUGCAGGUUGUCUUCAGGGCCACUACGCUCAUCCGUAUGUGGUCCCUACUCACUCUAACGGAGGCCAGGAAGCAUUUGGUUACUGGAUCUAUCCGGUGGGAGACGGUAGCACGGGCUAUAUUCAACCGAUUUGGAUGGCGGUCGUGUAAUAAGAUAGGUGUUUAGUUUUCUAUCUGUUUGUUGCCAGCCGGUUGUGGCUGUCCUGUGUUUGCUUUCGUGCUCUUUGUUGAGCACAUGUUCCUUUGUUUGAGACUACGAGACUUUUGUUGGACCUUUUGCUUAUCAAUAAUAUGGUUGUAUGCAUCUUUCUGAUGCAGAGGCUGGGGCAAACCCUCUUUUCGAAAAAAAUGCAUGUGAAUUACUAAUGUUCGAGCCAAAUGAAAUUGUAGUGCUACAUAAUUAAUCAUAGUCAGGGAGGCAACUACUAGGCGGCUUGCAGUGGUCCUAAUUGCGAGAACUUUUGGAACAUAGUAGCGAAAAAUGAACUUUGAACAUUAGAAAUUUAUUAGAUGCUAGUAUUUUCUUAGCUUUAUUACUGGUCGCUUCCAACAAUUAGCUCUGAACAUUAGUAACUAGCAGGAUUGUGGACACUCUCGAUUCCACAAUUUUAUCAGAGCCAAGUCACUGGUCACAUAUUAUUUACACUAGAGUGCUAUUUGAAUCACUUAUAACAUCGAAACCAUCAAGUCAAACUAGAAUGCUAACAACAGAAACAAAGGGAGCACAAUGGCCGAUGUGAUUGAGGUGGUGCCGGAGCGAAGGGAGCGUGUAACCAGACAAGGGGACGAGGUGGAAAUUGAACAUAUAUAGGGACAACCUUUUAACAUGGUGACUCUUUUUGAAAUGUUCAGCAGGGAGAUUUGGUCAAAACUCCAACCAACCGGUGCCACUAAUUGAGUGUUAACUUGUUGAGUGGGGCGCAAGGUUUUGAUUUAUGGUGGAACUAAUUGUAUUCUUUUGGGAAAAAGUCACCAGACCAUUACUCAAAGACUAGCAUUACAUUAUAUGUAGGUUUUGAGGAUAUCGGACGGUCUUCCACCUCCACUCAUGGGGCGCUGACGGCACCACUCCACUAUCGAAGCAAACCUAGAUUUGUUGCCUGCGGCUGGGAAGUCAUCGAGACUAUGGUUCAGCCGGACUAGCGCGAGAAGUCAACCUGAAGUGGUGCAGUCAUCGUUGAAGCAGGGUAUAAGCCUGAUAACAAAAACCCUAGACAUUGUCGGCGUCGCCUCGUUGGUAGCAUCAAGGUAAACCAAAUCCUCUAAGACAACCCUCAGUCCUCACAGCCCCCUCAAGGCCUCAACCUCACCACUCAAGGUGCCAGACCAUGGAGAUUUAAUUCCGACAGCCGAUGCCAUCACAAUCCAAACACCGCCGGGGGAGACACAAACCUAGCCUAGAGCAAAACAAGGUCCCGUCGUUUCCAUCCCUCCCCCUGCUAGAGUAUCCGACAAAGGUGAGGAAACCCUAGUAACACUGUGGUGGUCGGGGCGUCCUUUUCUGUCUCCUCUCUCUAACCUAUCUUUGCUUUCACCCAACCAAAUCAGAUUUGAUCGGCAGAGCCAAAAAAAAUCAUCAUGGUAGAGCCGAUUGUUGACUUUUCAAUGGCGGAUAGAUAGGUUGGAUAUUGACAAUGCGUGAAAAGAGGGGUUUAGAAAAACCGAAGUACUCACACGACAAUGCAUGGAUGAGAUGUGGACUAUGUCCAUCUUAAACGGUGCUGAUUUGCUAAAAGAUGCCAUCCAACGAUGAUUUGAUCCAUCGUCCAGAUUUCACUUGGAUAUCUGUCGUCCCUAUAGCACUGCUCUUAGAGAAAACUGGAUAAAAAAAUCGAGAAUCAAAUCAAAAAGAUUGAAAGACAAAUAUCUGCCGAAUAUGUUCUACUCCCUCCGUUCCAUAUUAGUUGUUGUUGAAAUGGAUGUAUGUAGAUAUAUUUUAGUGCUAGAUACAUUCGUUUAAGCGACAACUAAUAUGAAACGGAGAGAGUAAUCGGUAUAUUUCUUUCUUCCGUUAUCACGCACGGGGCUUUUUCCACUAAACCAAAAUGGCGUUCAAUCGGCAAUUUACAUGGAGAGCUGGAGGAGCACGUCUCCAACGGCCGCCGGCGGUAGCACGCCGAGGUCCGUGAUCAGAAGCUCCAGGUACUUCGACUGGGUGUAGUCCCUCGCCGGCGCCUCGACGUCCACGCCGGCCGGCACUGGCACGUCGCCGAAGUCCACGGCUCGGCCACCGCGCUGCUCGAUGUCUUUCUGUCCCAGCGGAUACAGCCUUGCGAACUUGUAGCUCUCUGCUGCCACAUAGACAGGCUUGCCCAUGGCGCGAGCCACCAGGGCGACCUGGUACGUGCCAACGGCGCCGACCACGCCGCCCGUCUCGGUGACCAAGUCAGCGCCUACCAGCACCACGUCGACCUGGGCCAUUGAGUAGGCCACCGCCGAGUCGAGCAGGACCGUCGCCGGUACCCCGGCCGCUGCGAGCUCCCCGGCCAGCCUCAGCCCCGCGCCGUCCGGCCUACCCUCUGCAAGACGAAAUCAAAUUAGGCUCCAAACAUUAUUGGCAAUAUCACGAAGGUUUGAUUAUUGCGCGAGUUAAUAAUGCAUGCAUAGGUGCGUACCGGUGCAUAGGACCAGGAGGCGCUUGCCGCUGGUGCCGGCCAGCCGGAGAGCGUCGAGCACGGGCGGCGAGUAGCCGUGCACCAGCACGGUGCAGCCGUCCAGCAAGAAGUCCUGGCAGAGCGUCGCGAUGGCCCCGCGCGCGCCUCGGCAGAUGUCCCCGAAUCUGAUGGCACGGCUGACCAGGCGGCGUUUGAGGGCGGGGAACUGGGCUGGCUGAUCAUCGGCGACGGCGCCGCCGCGACGCAUGUACCGGACGAACAUGUCGCAGGCCGCCGAGAGCGCGCCGUACGGCUCGCUAUCUAGACACUGCAAGUUUUCAUCCAUCAACGUGUCGUCGAUCAGGCAUAAAAACUCGUCUACAUACGGUCCGCGUGUGCAAAAAUUUAUUAGAAACUCGAUCAGUACAUAGAGAUCAAGAGCUCUAGAGCUGACCUUGAGUUCCUCCGCGGCCGCCUUGACCUCGGCUAGGAGCCCCGCCAUGGUGUCGGCCUUGCUGGACCGGACGGCGUCGGCGAGCGCCAUGACCGCCGCCACGGCCUCGUCGGCCCCGUCUUUCUUCCACCGGUCCAAGCAUCCGGCGAUUCGUGGCGUCUCUGUCUCGGCCAUUGUCGACGCGGCGGAGGUAGAAGCAGUAACACGAUCUUGCAGCGAAGCAGCGGUUAUUGUUGCAGCUAAAGGAUUCAGGGAGAGGAGCCAUGAUUGGGUUUGGAGGACGGCGAUCGAUCCGGCUUACAGCGUCGUGGUUUCCAUCGUGAGUUGCGAAUCCUUUUGCUCCGGUUCCGGAGGGGACACGUCGUAUAUGUGGUGGACAUGUAUGUAUGGGCCAUAUGAGGCCUGUUUGUUUGGGCCACGAUUCGAGUUCUUUAGGCCCGGCCCAUCUCAAAGGGAAGAGUGUCGCGAACCCUAAUAAGCGAUCUGUCCCACGCAAAUCCGCCGCCAGGGAGCACGAACAAUGGACAUUCCGCUGCCGGGCGGGGGCGGCGAGGUUUCGUUGGACUACUCCCCGGCGGCCACCGUCGUGCCCUUUGACCCGCCCCUCCCUCUGCUUCGCGCGCCAGUCCCUUCCUCCUCCUCCGCCUCCAUCGACCCCCCCGUCCUCGCCUUCCGCGACGCCGCGAGCUGGCGCGCCGCCUGGGAGGCUGCCGAGGCCAGCCUCUUCUCCCAGUGCGAGGUAAGCCCCUGCACAACUGGUAAUCUGUGUCUGUUUCGCAUGCCUGGAUCAUCACAUGACGAGACCCCGAUUGUUUAGAUCUGUAAGGUAGACGCUGAUUCAGAUGGCAGUGCACUGGAAGCAUUUGCGUCUUUUGUUCUUGCAGCUGGCCGAGCUGCCUUGCGCUAGUCAAUGCCAGGCAGCAAGUUUAGCAGCUGCGUACAUCAAACAGUAAAGUGCAGACAAGCUCCUGACUAGUACCCAAGAUUACUUGCUAUUCGGGGUUUCCAUAACAUGGCAUAUAUUCCGCGUGCGUGUUUUACUUCUGUGGUGUUGCUGCUAUGCUAAUUCUCAGUCGACCGAGAUUUUCUUGAGUCUAGAUUGAUUUUUCGAUGUAUCUCUACAUAUAUAGACGGACCUCGUUGACCAAUUUUGUUGUUCUUCCAUGUCUGGGAAGACGAGGAAUGUUUACUUUGGCAGCUGGCCGAGCUGACUUGCUCUAGUACUGCUAGUCGGUAAAUUUCUCAGCUGCGCACAGCGAAGAGAGCAGAAACCACUUCAUGGCUGCUUAGCUUUAGCUGUCUUGGUUGGUGAUGUUCUACAGUUGAACUGGCAAAUCAAGUGCACCUUUUGUAUCAUUACUCUUUUGUGUUGUCGUUUUGUUUUUUGUGGAGAAAGUGCUAAUAAUCAGAUUAGGAUCUUGCAAGUCUGCAUCUAUUAUAGAUGCCAAGAUUAAAUUGCAUGUGGGUGCAUAGUUAUAUGUUGUAUUGUGCGAUUAAGCAUUUGAAGUGCACCUUUCUGUUUUCACCUUGAGUUCUUACUGUCAGAAUUCAUUCUUGAUGUGACAAGAGUAAAUUGGAAUUAGCUGGAGCAAAUCUACUGUGCAUGCUGGUUAGUAGUAUGACAGAUGUAUAUGUUGUGUAUUUCGUGUACAAGUAGAAGCAUUGCUUCCUAAAGAUCUCCAUUGGUCUAAGCCCAUUUGGCUUGUGUUCAUCAUUCCUAAUUGCAUGAUGUACUUAAUCCCCCUAACUGUGAACAAUGGAUCUUUUCCUACAAACGGAAUGAACAGCAGAUUGGUUCAUCAUUUUGCAGGCUGGUGCACGCUCUGGCUGUUCAAUCACUGCAACACGAAAAUGCAAGCCACCCUGGUGGAAAGGUUUGUUUGGAGGUGCAACAACCAACUAUCAAGAAAGAGAAGAAUGCGAAGAACGAGAAAUGGCUUCUUGUCUUGAAUCAGCAAAGGAGGCUUGCAUUAAGUUUUCAAAGCAAAAAUGUAAUGCACCAUUCCGAGAUGCAAGGAUUGCCUCUGAAGGUCUCCUUGAAAAUACAGAUUUUGCUGUCUGGGAUGCUGGGCGUAACAAGACAGCAUCAGCAUCCUUGUCUGUUGCAAACAGCCGCUGCUCAUCCAAUCCUGGGCUUGGUGGCACAAGCUACAAAGGAAGUGACUUGCUAGACAGCUUAGCAACUGAAGGCAAUAGCAACUCAGGGCGAUGACCUAUCAAGGGCACCACUGUGGUCAGCGCUUAGGAGACCGCACAUAUUAUUUGGAGCUGGAUUCAUCAUCAAUGAAAUAAUGGUAUAUGACAUUGUCGAGGCUUGUGUUCUCCUGUUAUGUGGUUUUCUGUUGCUACAGUUGGCUCCAUGGCAAGAAAAAUAGUGAACAAUUAAUUGAUAGAAGAAGACUGCGGCUGGGAGGCUUGAGAUUGAAUGGCUAGCAUUCUGAAGUCUCGCGAGGCCAAGAAGAUUAAGAAUAUUUGGAUAUUGUUUCCUGCUACUGUCUUGGCCGUUUCUGUUGAUUUUGAGAUGCUGGGCAAAGGCGACACAAGAUGCAAAAGCUGUACAUCAAAUUCAUAAGGGGUGUAUUGUGUAGCAGUAGCAGUAUCGGUGAAUAUGUAGUAUAUGUUGAUCAUUUGUUGCUGUAAAUAAAUCACGCCCAGCUGAAGUCGAUGAAAACCUCACUAUCCAAGUGCCCAUCUGGUUGUUUUAUCAAUGCUGUUCAAGCAUGGCACUAAACCACUAAAAGAUGGGGAUAUUUAACCUGCAAAAGCCUUCGUCUGCUUAAAACAGACAUCAGAAGCCUCUUCACCAACAGUUCUCCUACCGUCCUACGCAUGUCAUAAAGUGCAUUGUAUGAAGUUGUUAGAUCACAUAGUCAUCAUCACAUGACAUGCAUCUCUUCAAGAUUCAAGACUGUUUAUUCAGCUAUCUCAACCAUGUGCCAAAGGGCCAACGAAUAUACCAAUAAUAUUGUGAUACAAAAAGGACCAAGCUAUUUUGAUUCUUAGAACAGAGGCGCAAAGAUCGAUCCAUUUGGUAUUCUAGCAUGUAGACCAAAUGAUAAAAGAGUACAGAAAAUCGUCACUAAAAACUUUGAAAGAAGCAGAACUUAGCGAGGUAGGUAUGUCCAAGAAACAAGCUCUCACUCCAUGGUGUAGCAUCGGGUGCCACCCUGAGCUGACGACGAAUUAGCAGCCGAGAACAACUCAUCAUGCCGUGUACCGGGACUAGCACCAAAAUAAUUUGAAGGUAGCAAUGGCACGGCUUCAUUGUUCAUCUGUAAUGCAUGGUUUUUCUUCACUACCAUCUUCCCUCUAAGGAGCUGCAGCCUUAGCUCCACUUCUUUCAUGGUAGGCCUCUCUUCUCCUUUGUGCCUCAGGCAUACUCUCACUAGGGAGGCCAUUUUGUCGAUCUGUCUACCGUUAUCUUCCUCAACAAUCUGAGUGUUAAUGAUCUCCAUCAUAGUGUUAUCUUGUAAACUUCGAACGAAGUAGUGGCACAGGCUUUGCUUUCCACCACAGGAAUCAAGGAAGAUUGGCUUCUGUCUUGUCAGGAGCAGUGGUAGACCUAGAAAGUAUUUGGAGUGGGGGCAUAUUCUCUAGAAAUUCAAGGAAAUUAAGCAUAUUUUUUGAGAAACACAAGCAAAUCUUACUGAAAUUUCAAAUUUUCAGUGGGGGCCCAGGCCCCCACUCACCUUAACGUGUGUUCGCCCCUGGUCAGGAGCUCGACGAUCAUCACACCGAAACUGUAAACAUCGCUCUUCUCAGUUAGCUGGCUGUACGGUAAUACUCAGGAUCCAAGUAUCCAAAUGUACCCUGAACUGUAGUGACCACACAAGUUUCAUCGAUGGAAAUGGAUCUCGAAGCACCAAAGUCUGCAACCUUUGCAGUGAGGUUAUCAGUCAAGAGUAUAUUGGCGGAUGUCACAUCUCUGUGAAAGAUUGGUAUGGAAGCAGCGGAAUGGAGGUAAGCAAGUGCACUUGCUGCCUCGCUAGCAAUUCUGAUACGAUCAUCCGAUGUUAAUAAGCAUCUAGCACUCACCUGGUCACCAUGAAGAUGUUCAGACAGUGUGCCAUUGGAGAUGAACUCAUACACGAGCAAAUGCAUCUCCGACUCAAGGCAACACCAAAAAAGUUUUACCACGUUUUGAUGAUUGAUUUGCGACACGAUUGCAAGCUCGUUGACGAAUUGAUCAAUCUCUCUUUGAUCUACCAUUUUGGACUUCUUUAUGGCCACCACACGUUGAUCUAAUAAGAUUCCCUUGUAAACGGUGCCAUUCCCUCCACGGCCUAGAAUGUGCGUGGAGUCGAAAUUGGUUGUUGCCUUCUCCAACUCAUCCAAUGAAAAUAUUUUAGUGCUAUGUGUGGCACUUUCAUUGGAUGAGAUCAAUUGCUCCAAGAGGUGGCCUUUGCUUUUCCUGAAGUGUGCUUUCCGAACUCUCUUUCUAAUGCUUCUCUUCCACAUCUGGACCAACAAUAUUGAAAUUACCGCAAGAAGCAGAACUCCAAUACCAGAGCUUAGUCCAAUAACAACUCCUACAUUAGUGUUCAUACAUAAUAGUUAGAUGCAUAAAAGUUUCCCUUUUUGUAAGUAACUACUUUGGUUUUGUUUGUGGGUUGCUGGUGGUAGUUGCAAUUGCAUCAUUUCAUUUUUAGAAUCAAAGGCCUAACACUUUGAUCCUGGUCUAAGUUAAAAAAAAUUCUAAAGUUCAGCCAUGACAAGCCUCUUAUACAUUACCAGCCAGUGAAGAGAACAACAACUCUGCAGCUCUCACAAAAACACAAAAAUAUUUACCAGACUACACAACAAAAAGCAUUUUUCAAAAUAAAAAAUGUUGCAUCAUUAACUCCGCCUAUGUUGUCUCAACAUAGCCGGUCCCAAGCCCGGGUAAAGGAGGAGGGUUGUGGUAGGCUUGGCGAGCCAAUGUAAAAACUCAGCCACUCUUAUGGAGAUGAAACCCAAAAGAUUUUCGUUGGGGCGUAACCCUCUCAGCGACGCACCUCAUCGGAACCGGGUGUGGUGGAAAAUNNNNNNNNNNNNNNNNNNNNNNNNNNNNNNNNNNNNNNNNNNNNNNNNNNNNNNNNNNNNNNNNNNNNNNNNNNNNNNNNNNNNNNNNNNNNNNNNNNNNNNNNNNNNNNNNNNNNNNNNNNNNNNNNNNNNNNNNNNNNNNNNNNNNNNNNNNNNNNNNNNNNNNNNNNNNNNNNNNNNNNNNNNNNNNNNNNNNNNNNNNNNNNNNNNNNNNNNNNNNNNNNNNNNNNNNNNNNNNNNNNNNNNNNNNNNNNNNNNNNNNNNNNNNNNNNNNNNNNNNNNNNNNNNNNNNNNNNNNNNNNNNNNNNNNNNNNNNNNNNNNNNNNNNNNNNNNNNNNNNNNNNNNNNNNNNNNNNNNNNNNNNNNNNNNNNNNNNNNNNNNNNNNNNNNNNNNNNNNNNNNNNNNNNNNNNNNNNNNNNNNNNNNNNNNGCAUCUUGAUCCGGAUACAGUGGCAAGUGUUGGCCGCGAGAUCUUAUGGGUUUCACCUUUAGCCUACACCAACUUGUUUGGGACUAAAGGCUUUGUUGUUGUUGUUGUUGUUGUUGUUGUUGUUGUUGUUGUUGUUGUUGUUGUUGCUGCUGCUGUUGAAAAUGGUGCAUCAUUGAUUAUAAGAUGAAUAAAGAAAGGUGUUAACUUCUGGUGGUUUACCUAUUAAACGGUUGGUACAAGAGUUUGUUUCCUUUGCAAAUUUGCUGCCAAAAGGACAUGAACAAUAGUACCCUCCAACUAUGUUUUGGCAAGUUGCAGACUCAGAGCAGGGGCUUGGACUCUGCUCACAUUCAUUGACAUCUACAGUGGGGAAAAAAAUCUGAUCCCAAGUGAAUCAUUCGAAGGUAAUAUAAUAAACAAAUAUGUAGAUUGAAGUAUGAGUGGAUUACGAUAAAAUGACACGUGUUCUCUUUCUAAGAAUUGAGUUACAAUUCUACUGGAACGACGUCAAGUUAAACUGUCAAAGUGAAAUGUUAAGCACAAAGGUAUUUGUCCGCACCAUUCUUUAACCAACGAUUGAAGAGAAAUGGCAUUCGAGAUGCAAGGAAAGUCUAAUAUAACAAUUAGUUCAACAUGAUAUGAGUACAAAUAGAUUGUUUGUAUAAUUGUUUGCUCUCCUUUUCUUUUCUUUAAAUUGCUGAUUUGUAUUGUCUAUUACAAAACUAUUUGUAAAAGUGAUAUGCAAUGUCCAUUAUUAAAGAGACAAGUCCACGCAGUCUAACCCCUGAUUUUCCUCUCUCUAUUUGGAUAUUUGACAUGCUUGAGAUGAGGAAAAUACUAGUAUUAUACACAUUUGUCACUGCAGAAAUCCCUAUUUUAGAUUGAUGUACAAAAAUUCUUACGAACUAAAAUGCAUGCAGAGCAAGGGGAGGAACUUGCCUGUGCAUCCACCGGAGAGGUAAUGGAGCAGUUGCAAAGAUACCUUGCGCCAUUAGAAGAAUCCACGCACUCGGAGUUUCCGCUACGACAUGCAUAGGAAGACCUCACAUGUUGCACUCCCUAUCACCCAAUCAAGCACCACCGGCUGCCGUCCCUUGUAGGUAUCAUACUUGUAGUUACAUGAUCGGAGCUGAAGAAAAACGCCUUUGUUUCCACCAAGCCGGCGUAGCUGCAUGGGUUGUAGUACCAACUAUUUGAAGUAUUCACAUAAUCCACAUCAUAGAAAUAGACGUUAUAGCCCAUUAAGCCCUUGGGAACGACAUUUUGGCAGCAGCCAACACCAACGCACGAGCCAUUUGUCAGGUCUCCCGGGCUCCCACACACCGAUGCACAUCGUGUUGCAUCCCUUGUCCUGCCGUUGGUGUUGUAGAUGUACCCAAUUGUGUUGCAACCAAUGCUUAUGAACUCGUUGUGCGCGUGUGAAAACCUAUAGGGCCAUGCAUGUUAAUUUGAAACCCCAAAUGUAGGCAUCCAUUUCUCUUGUACUAUAGUUGUAGCAAUAUGUCGGGAUGGUCAUCAAAGCUCGGGAUUGACCACACUGCGGGUCGCCGAGAUGUUUAGAAUCUCCCAUUGGUGAAUGAAUGGUCUCUCGAUUCCACCCGCGGUCCUGCUGCAGUUGAUCUCGAAGCCCUGUUCGAUAGCACAACCGAUACCAAUGCCAAAUGGAUAGGGGACCUCCACGUCACCGCAAUGUGUUCUGCACCCAUGGUGAAGCCGCGCUGAUGAUAUGAAUGAUAGGUUCAGCAUGACUGUAACGGUGCUGAGCAGUAGCACUGACGCCAUAUUAAUGCUCUGAAACUAGAGUCGUGAAAUUAAACAAGUAUCGGAUGAGCUAAAAGGAGAGGCAAAACAUCACGAACGGAGUAUAGAAUGCUAAGUAGAGAAACCCAAGAAACUUUUUUUAACUACAAGAAACCCAAGAACUUAGAGCAUCUUCUACCGGACUUGGCAAAUCCGGUCCCUCAAACGCCAGCGGACGCAUAUUCAUUUUGCUCGUGAUACUCCUUUCAAAUUCGGCUCCACAUACUCCUUUUGCUCGUGAUACUCCUUUCAAAUCUUUGUCCAAUAGGUGUUCCCCUUUUGCUCAGUGCCGCGUAUUGGAUCCAUCAUCGUGGCCAACCAAGCUUUGACCAAUAAGAUAUCCUCAAAUCUUGAGAAUGCCAGACUCUUGCCUUCGGCGUCUUGGUCUUCUUCUUCCUUUUGCUCAAAUUGAGAUCGGAUGUUGUCCCAACCUCAAAUGCGGUGGUGGCCUCCAAUUCAUACUCCAUUUCGAUCGGAUCUUCAUUGUCAUUGAUCAUGUCUGAUAAGAACGCCUCCUACAUGAUUAUGGUUUGCAAGAAUUCAUCAUGUGCGAAAUGAACUAUAGUGGUCUAUGCUGAAAACUGAUCAGACAGGAGCAAAGAAAACGCACCGACUGUUGUUCGGUCAUUCCAUCGAACAUGUCGAGGGCAGCUCGGGCAGUGCCGGUGCCCGUGCUCAUUCGCGCUCGAACGAGCUGCAGCGAGUCACACAUGUCGGCCGCCGGCAUUUUGCGUGGGCGGAAAGCUGUCCUGCAUGGCCUAGCCGGCGGUCGCAUCAUCCUCUGUCCCAAGGGGUCGGACACAUAAUCUGCAUCGGCGCUCGGAGGGAAGGGGUGUGGGGAUCCGGGCACGGCGGAGGAGACAACUGCUCCACCAUGUCUGAACCUCCUGCGCCGCCGCCGCCUCCCUCUCUCGCUGUCGGCGUCGCCGCAACUUGCGGGCGACGUUCUCCGCCUUGCAAGUCGCAUCCGACGAAUUGACACCGCCGACGGACGAGGCGGACUGCAUCUCCGUCGUGGCGGUGUGGGUCAGGCUUGACGACAUCUCCGGCGGUGGAUUGGGACCGGAGGAGAGGAUUGGGAGCAACGGUGGAGGAUGGCGAGGGUCCGGGUGCAGGAAAGGUUGGAGGGAGGAGGACGAAGAGUUUGGUGGAUUUGGUGCAAUUUGGGGUGGGGUCUGGCGUGCCCGGGCACUCCCGGGCGCCCUAUAUCCGCCUCAUAUUUGGGCUGGAUAGGGGGGGCCCGGUCAGCUCGGACGUUGAGGACCAUUUAAGACGCCCGUCUGGGUUAAAAAAUCAUGACCGAACAAUGACCGGCGGUAUGUAAGGCCUUCCACAGCGUAGCCGGUGCCAAAUACAUCAAAAGGCAGCCACCUCAUCACCGGUGCCCAAAAUUGCUUUUCAGGCAUCGAUCUCACAACGUAGGGCUUCGGCAGGAAAAAGAUUUUGGGACCCAUAUGAUAAACAAGUACACCACGCUGUUGUGUAUUGAGCAAAGAGAGAGAAGACAUUUGCUGUUCAAAGUUGAGAGUUAAUAGUAUUUUAUUGGCUGGAGGAAUUGGGCAUCGUGUUCUUACUUGCUCCGAUGCCAUGAAAAUUUUGUUGGGGCACCGGCCUCACAACGUGAGGGCACCGGCUAUCGGAGCCAGAAGUUAAUUUGGCACCUCUUUUGGCCUACAUAAUGGAAGGUCUAAGAGGUGGGUUUGAGAGAUCGGUUGUAGAUGCUCUUAAUAAGCUAGUACUAGAAGAAGAACAUGUAUAGGGGAGGAAGGGGACAUAAGUGAAUCCCGAACGAAAGCACGUACCUGCGGGUGAUGGCCGAGUCGAGAAACACGGUCGACGUUCGUGAUCGAGUUGGCGCCGUGCCGGAGCUAAUUCAAGGGAAUGCCGCCGCCUUCCAACCGGAGACGAGACUGUAUUAUGUGGCUGACAACCUGCGCAGCUUUCAAACAUGGUGGCUCCUUUUGGAAAAGGCUCGGAGUGGAGACCCCAACCGUGUCACUCAUGUCAUACAUAUGCACCUUACAAAGGGCUGCGAGCUUUACUACACAGAUGUGUUGGGUGUACAUUUGGUUUUAACAAAUUUGAGACCUUAUCUUUUUUUUGUUGGGUUUGCAGCUUUUAUGUCAUUUUAAAUACAUAUGUGUAUGCUGUCAAUACACUAUAGAUUAACAUACACUAGUGUCAAAAACGCUUUUAUAUUAUAAAACGGAGGAAGUAGUCUGAUUUUCUCAACACGUAAGGGCUUCUUUGAUUCAAAGGAAUUGCAUAGGAUUUUUGGAGGAUUUGAAUCCUUAGGAAUUUUUCCUGUGAUGCUCGUUUGAUUCGUAGGAUUGGCAUCCUUAGGAAUUUUUCCAUAGGAUCCAUUUGUACUACAUUUUGGAGGAAAAUUUUCAUCCACUCAAACCUCUUUGUAGGAUUCCUUUGUUUUUCCUGCGCUAUCAAACAUUCUUUGAGAUCCUGUAGGAUACUAUGGGACAUGUCAUCCUAUUCCUGCAUUUUUCCUAUUCCUUCAUUUUGACAAUCCUGCGAAUCAAAGAGGCCCUAAAUUUUUUUUUAAACGGAGGCAAAAGAUUUGGCUCAUUCAUUAAUUAAGCAGAAAAGAACUGCCCAGUUAAUUAAUGAAAAACCAGGCGAAAAUCAUCACAAACUACUGAGUGACACCAAUGAAAGACCUACACGCGCCACUCACAAGAGGGCCUCGUCAAGACUGCACGUCGACAUCAUCGCCAUCACUUCUCCCCUAGAGGCAUCAUUGCCAUCCCAAACUAUGAGAAACGACUCCAACUUCACCUCAAGAGGGCCUCGUCAAGACCGCACCUCGAGCGUCAUCACCAUCACUUCUCCCCUAGAGGUGUCAUCGCCAUCCCAAACUCUGAAAAACAACUCUGACUUCGCCAAAGGCGAUCAUCAAACCAACCCACCCUGAAUAGGCCGUGCGGAAUCACAUGAAGAUCCACAUCGGACCUCAGCCACUACAACAAGAAAGCACAGCUCUAACACCAACAGAGAGCUACGAAUGAACCAAGCAGCUGUGAAGUCGAAGCUACAGUGGCAGGGCCCGGUGGCAUAUGCUGACGAGUAGGUGGUCCGUUCGGUGAUCUUCCUCAACACGUAGUAUGACUUCAGUGCACACGACACAGUAUAUGCCCCCCUGGAGACCGACAACAGAACAACAGUUCCACAAGCAUGAGCACACUUGAAUUCAGGUGAGAGUGUGACUACUCCCAUUCCUGUCACGUAGAAAGAAGAAAACUCCCGUUUCGUACAGAAAUUCCAUGAGAAGCAAAAUGGCGCCACGUCGUAUUAUUUGUAUUCUUCGUUCUACGAAUCAGCAAAACCAGAUCACGACUCGGACACGAUUCACAUGGAGCACCUAUCUCACGCUUUUUCGACGCGGUAGCCAGGCUGCCUCUCUUCCUCAUCACUUAUUUAAGACGCCCAUCUGGGUUAAAAAGUCGUGACCGAACAAUGACCGGCGGUAUGUAAGGCCUUCCACAGCGUAGCCGGUGCCAAAUACAUCAAAAGGCAGCCACCUCAUCACCGGUGCCCAAAAUUGCUUUUCAGGCAUCGAUCUCACAACGUAGGGCUUCGGCAGGAAAAAGAUUUUGGGACCCAUAUGAUAAACAAGUACACCACGCUGCUGUGUAUUGAGCAAAGAGAGAGAAGACAUUUGCUGUUCAAAGUUGAGAGUUAAUAGUAUUUUAUUGGCUGGAGGAAUUGGGCAUCGUGUUCUUACUUGCUCCGAUGCCAUGAAAAUUUUGUUGGGGCACCGGCCUCACAACGUGAGGGCACCGGCUAUCGGUGCCAGAAGUUAAUUUGGCACCUCUUUUGGCCUACAUAAUGGAAGGUCUAAGAGGUGGGUUUGAGAGAUCGGUAGUAGAUGCUCUUAAUAAGCUAGUACUAGAAGAAGAACAUGUAUAGGGGAGGAAGGGGACAUAAGUGAAUCCCGAACGGAAGCACGUACCUGCGGGUGAUGGCCGAGUCGAGAAGCACGGUCGACGUUCGUGAUCGAGUUGGCGCCGUGCCGGAGCUAAUUCAAGGGAAUGCCGCCGCCUUCCAACCGGAGACGAGACUGUAUUAUGUGGCUGACAACCUGCGCAGCUUUCAAACAUGGUGGCUCCUUUUGGAAAAGGCUCGGAGUGGAGACCCCAACCGUGUCACUCGUGUCAUACAUAUGCACCUUACAAAGGGCUGCGAGCUUUACUACACAGAUGUGUUGGGUGUACAUUUGGUUUUAACAAAUUUGAGACCUUAUCUUUUUUUUUGUUGGGUUUGCUGCUUUUAUGUCAUUUUAAAUACAUAUGUGUAUGCUGUCAAUACACUAUAGAUUAACAUACACUAGUGUCAAAAACGCUUUUAUAUUAUAAAACGGAGGGAGUAGUCUGAUUUUCUCAACACGUAAAUUUUUUUUUAAAUGGAGGCAAAAGAUUUGGCUCAUUCAUUAAUUAAGCAGAAAAGAACUGCCCAGUUAAUUAAUGAAAAACCAGGCGAAAAUCAUCACAAACUACUGAGUGACACCAAUGAAAGACCUACACGCGCCACUCACAAGAGGGCCUCGUCAAGACUGCACGUCGACAUCAUCGCCAUCACUUCUCCCCUAGAGGCAUCAUUGCCAUCCCAAACUAUGAGAAACGACUCCAACUUCACCUCAAGAGGGCCUCGUCAAGACCGCACCUCGAGCGUCAUCACCAUCACUUCUCCCCUAGAGGUGUCAUCGCCAUCCCAAACUCUGAAAAACAACUCUGACUUCGCCAAAGGCGAUCAUCAAACCAACCCACCCUGAAUAGGCCGUGCGGAAUCACAUGAAGAUCCACAUCGGACCUCAGCCACAACAACAAGAAAGCACAGCUCUAACACCAACAGAGAGCUACGAAUAAACCAAGCAGCUGUGAAGUCGAAGCUACAGUGGCAGGGCCUGGUGGCAUAUGCUGACGAGUAGGUGGUCCGUUCGGUGAUCUUCCUCAACACGUAGUAUGACUUCAGUGCACAUGACACAGUAUAUGCCCCCCUGGAGACCGACAACUGAACAACAGUUCCACAAGCAUGAGCACACUUGAAUUCAGGUGAGAGUGUGACCACUCCCAUUCCUGUCACGUAGAAAGAAGAAAACUCCCGUUUCGUACAGAAAUUCCAUGAGAAGCAAACUGGCGCCACGUCGUAUUAUUUGUAUUCUUCGUUCUACGAAUCAACAAAACCAGAUCACGACUCGGACACGAUUCACAUGGAGCACCUAUCUCACGCUUUUUCGACGUGGUAGCCAGGUUGCCUCUCUUCCUCAUCACUUAUUUAAGACGCCCGUCUGGGUUAAAAAAUCGUGACCGAACAAUGACCGGCGGUAUGUAAGGCCUUCCACAGCGUAGCCGGUGCCAAAUACAUCAAAAGGCAGCCACCUCAUCACCGGUGCCCAAAAUUGCUUUUCAGGCAUCGAUCUCACAACGUAGGGCUUCGGCAGGAAAAAGAUUUUGGGACCCAUAUGAUAAACAAGUACACCACGCUGCUGUGUAUUGAGCAAAGAGAGAAGACAUUUGCUGUUCAAAGUUGAGAGUUAAUAGUAUUUUAUUGGCUGGAGGAAUUGGGCAUCGUGUUCUUACUUGCUCCGAUGCCAUGAAAAUUUUGUUGGGGCACCGGCCUCACAACAUGAGGGCACCGGCUAUCGGAGCCAGAAGUUAAUUUGGCACCUCUUUUGGCCUACAUAAUGGAAGGUCUAAGAGGUGGGUUUGAGAGAUCGGUUGUAGAUGCUCUUAAUAAGCUAGUACUAGAAGAAGAACAUGUAUAGGGGAGGAAGGGGACAUAAGUGAAUCCCGAACGGAAGCACGUACCUGCGGGUGAUGGCCGAGUCGAGAAACACGGUCGACGUUCGUGAUCGAGUUGGCGCCGUGCCGGAGCUAAUUCAAGGGAAUGCCGCCGCCUUCCAACCGGAGACGAGACUGUAUUAUGUGGCUGACAACCUGCGUAGCUUUCAAACAUGGUGGCUCCUUUUGGAAAAGGCUCGGAGUGGAGACCCCAACCGUGUCACUCGUGUCAUACAUAUGCACCUUACAAAGGGCUGCAAGCUUUACUACACAGAUGUGUUGGGUGUACAUUUGGUUUUAACAAAUUUGAGACCUUAUCUUUUUUUGUUGGGUUUGCAGCUUUUAUGUCAUUUUAAAUACAUAUGUGUAUGCUGUCAAUACACUAUAGAUUAACAUACACUAGUGUCAAAAACGCUUUUAUAUUAUAAAACGGAGGGAGUAGUCUGAUUUUCUCAACACGUAAUUUUUUUUAAACGGAGGCAAAAGAUUUGGCUCAUUCAUUAAUUAAGCAGAAAAGAACUGCCCAGUUAAUUAAUGAAAAACCAGGCGAAAAUCAUCACAAACUACUGAGUGACACCAAUGAAAGACCUACACGCGCCACUCACAAGAGGGCCUCGUCAAGACUGCACGUCGACAUCAUCGCCAUCACUUCUCCCCUAGAGGCAUCAUUGCCAUCUCAAACUAUGAGAAACGACUCCAACUUCACCUCAAGAGGGCCUCGUCAAGACCGCACCUCGAGCGUCAUCACCAUCACUUCUCCCCUAGAGGUGUCAUCGCCAUCCCAAACUCUGAAAAACAACUCUGACUUCGCCAAAGGCGAUCAUCAAACCAACCCACCCUGAAUAGGCCGUGCGGAAUCACAUGAAGAUCCACAUCGGACCUCAGCCACUACAACAAGAAAGCACAGCUCUAACACCAACAGAGAGCUACGAAUGAACCAAGCAGCUGUGAAGUCGAAGCUACAGUGGCAGGGCCCGGUGGCAUAUGCUGACGAGUAGGUGGUCCGUUCGGUGAUCUUCCUCAACACGUAGUAUGACUUCAGUGCACACGACACAGUAUAUGCCCCCAUGGAGACCGACAACAGAACAACAGUUCCACAAGCAUGAGCACACUUGAAUUCAGGUGAGAGUGUGACCACUCCCAUUCCUGUCACGUAGAAAGAAGAAAACUCCCGUUUCGUACAGAAAUUCCAUGAGAAGCAAAAUGGCGUCACGUCGUAUUAUUUGUAUUCUUCGUUCUACGAAUCAGCAAAACCAGAUCACGACUCGGACACGAUUCACAUGGAGCACCUAUCUCACGCUUUUUCGACGCUGUAGCCAGGCUGCCUCUCUUCCUCAUCACUUAUUUAAGACGCCUGUCUGGGUUAAAAAAUCGUGACCGAACAAUGACCGGCGGUAUGUAAGGCCUUCCACAGCGUAGCCGGUGCCAAAUACAUCAAAAGGCAGCCACCUCAUCACCGGUGCCCAAAAUUGCUUUUCAGGCAUCGAUCUCACAACGUAGGGCUUCGGCAGGAAAAAGAUUUUGGGACCCAUAUGAUAAACAAGUACACCACGCUGCUGUGUAUUGAGCAAAGAGAGAGAAGACAUUCGCUGUUCAAAGUUGAGAGUUAAUAGUAUUUUAUUGGCUGGAGGAAUUGGGCAUCGUGUUCUUACUUGCUCCGAUGCCAUGAAAAUUUUGUUGGGGCACCGGCCUCACAACGUGAGGGCACCGGCUAUCGGAGCCAGAAGUUAAUUUGGCACCUCUUUUGGCCUACAUAAUGGAAGGUCUAAGAGGUGGGUUUGAGAGAUCGGUUGUAGAUGCUCUUAAUAAGCUAGUACUAGAAGAAGAACAUGUAUAGGGGAGGAAGGGGACAUAAGUGAAUCCCGAACGAAAGCACGUACCUGCGGGUGAUGGCCGAGUCAAGAAACACGGUCGACGUUCGUGAUCGAGUUGGCGCCGUGCCGGAGCUAAUUCAAGGGAAUGCCGCCGCCUUCCAACCGGAGACGAGACUGUAUUAUGUGGCUGACAACCUGCGCAGCUUUCAAACAUGGUGGCUCCUUUUGGAAAAGGCUCGGAGUGGAGACCCCAACCGUGUCACUCGUGUCAUACAUAUGCACCUUACAAAGGGCUGCGAGCUUUACUACACAGAUGUGUUGGGUGUUCAUUUGGUUUUAACAAAUUUGAGACCUUAUCUUUUUUUUGUUGGGUUUGCAGCUUUUAUGUCAUUUUAAAUACAUAUGUGUAUGCUGUCAAUACACUAUAGAUUAACAUACACUAGUGUCAAAAACGCUUUUAUAUUAUAAAACGGAGGGAGUAGUCUGAUUUUCUCAACACGUAAGGGCUUCUUUGAUUCAAAGGAAUUGCAUAGGAUUUUUGGAGGAUUUGAAUCCUUAGGAAUUUUUCCUGUGAUGCUCGUUUGAUUCGUAGGAUUGGCAUCCUUAGGAAUUUUUCCAUAGGAUCCAUUUGUACUACAUUUUGGAGGAAAAUUUGCAUCCACUGAAACCUCUUUGUAGGAUUCCUUUGUUUUUCCUGCGCUAUCAAACAUUCUUUGAGAUCCUGUAGGAUACUAUGGGACAUGUCAUCCUAUUCCUGCAUUUUUCCUAUUCCUUCAUUUUGACAAUCCUGCGAAUCAAAGAGGCCCUAAAUUUUUUUUUAAACGGAGGCAAAAGAUUUGGCUCAUUCAUUAAUUAAGCAGAAAAGAACUGCCCAGUUAAUUAAUGAAAAACCAGGCGAAAAUCAUCACAAACUACUGAGUGACACCAAUGAAAGACCUACACGCGCCACUCACAAGAGGGCCUCGUCAAGACUGCACGUCGACAUCAUCGCCAUCACUUCUCCCCUAGAGGCAUCAUUGCCAUCCCAAACUAUGAGAAACGACUCCAACUUCACCUCAAGAGGGCCUCGUCAAGACCGCACCUCGAGCGUCAUCACCAUCAUUUCUCCCCUAGAGGUGUCAUCGCCAUCCCAAACUCUGAAAAACAACUCUGACUUCGCCAAAGGCGAUCAUCAAACCAACCCACCCUGAAUAGGCCGUGCGGAAUCACAUGAAGAUCCACAUCGGACCUCAGCCACUACAACAAGAAAGCACAGCUCUAACACCAACAGAGAGCUACGAAUGAACCAAGCAGCUGUGAAGUCGAAGCUACAGUGGCAGGGCCCGGUGGCAUAUGCUGACGAGUAGGUGGUCCGUUCGGUGAUCUUCCUCAACACGUAGUAUGACUUCAGUGCACACGACACAGUAUAUGCCCCCCUGGAGACCGACAACAGAACAACAGUUCCACAAGCAUGAGCACACUUGAAUUCAGGUGAGAGUGUGACCACUCCCAUUCCUGUCACGUAGAAAGAAGAAAACUCCCGUUUCGUACAGAAAUUCCAUGAGAAGCAAAAUGGCGCCACGUCGUAUUAUUUGUAUUCUUUGUUCUACGAAUCAGCAAAACCAGAUCACGACUCGGACACGAUUCACAUGGAGCACCUAUCUCACGCUUUUUCGACGCGGUAGCCAGGCUGCCUCUCUUCCUCAUCACUUAUUUAAGACGCCCGUCUGGGUUAAAAAAUCGUGACCGAACAAUGACCGGCGGUAAGGCCUUCCACAGCGUAGCCGGUGCCAAAUACAUCAAAAGGCAGCCACCUCAUCACCGGUGCCCAAAAUUGCUUUUCAGGCAUCGAUCUCACAACGUAGGGCUUCGGCAGGAAAAAGAUUUUGGGACCCAUAUGAUAAACAAGUACACCACGCUGCUGUGUAUUGAGCAAAGAGAGAGAAGACAUUUGCUGUUCAAAGUUGAGAGUUAAUAGUAUUUUAUUGGCUGGAGGAAUUGGGCAUCGUGUUCUUACUUGCUCCGAUGCCAUGAAAAUUUUGUUGGGGCACCGGCCUCACAACGUGAGGGCACCGGCUAUCGGAGGCAGAAGUUAAUUUGGCACCUCUUUUGGCCUACAUAAUGGAAGGUCUAAGAGGUGGGUUUGAGAGAUCGGUUGUAGAUGCUCUUAAUAAACUAGUACUAGAAGAAGAACAUGUAUAGGGGAGGAAGGGGACAUAAGUGAAUCCCGAACGGAAGCACGUACCUGCGGGUGAUGGCCGAGUCGAGAAACACGGUCGACGUUCGUGAUCGAGUUGGCGCCGUGCCGGAGCUAAUUCAAGGGAAUGCCGCCGCCUUCCAACCGGAGACGAGACUGUAUUAUGUGGCUGACAACCUGCGCAGCUUUCAAACAUGGUGGCUCCUUUUGGAAAAGGCUCGGAGUGGAGACCCCAACCGUGUCACUCGUGUCAUACAUAUGCACCUUACAAAGGGCUGCGAGCUUUACUACACAGAUGUGUUGGGUGUACAUUUGGUUUUAACAAAUUUGAGACCUUAUCUUUUUUUUGUUGGGUUUGCAGCUUUUAUGUCAUUUUAAAUACAUAUGUGUAUGCUGUCAAUACACUAUAGAUUAACAUACACUAAUGUCAAAAACGCUUUUAUAUUAUAAAACGGAGGAAGUAGUCUGAUUUUCUCAACACGUAAGGGCUUCUUUGAUUCAAAGGAAUUGCAUAGGAUUUUUGGAGGAUUUGAAUCCUUAGGAAUUUUUCCUGUGAUGCUCGUUUGAUUCGUAGGAUUGGCAUUCUUAGGAAUUUUUCCAUAGGAUCCAUUUGUACUACAUUUUGGAGGAAAAUUUUCAUCCACUCAAACCUCUUUGUAGGAUUCCUUUGUUUUUCCUGCGCUAUCAAACAUUCUUUGAGAUCCCGUAGGAUACUAUGGGACAUGUCAUCCUAUUCCUGCAUUUUUCCUAUUCCUUCAUUUUGACAAUCCUGCGAAUCAAAGAGGCCCUAAAUUUUUUUUUAAACGGAGGCAAAAGAUUUGGCUCAUUCAUUAAUUAAGCAGAAAAGAACUGCCCAGUUAAUUAAUGAAAAACCAGGCGAAAAUCAUCACAAACUACUGAGUGACACCAAUGAAAGACCUACACGCGCCACUCACAAGAGGGCCUCGUCAAGACUGCACGUCGACAUCAUCGCCAUCACUUCUCCCCUAGAGGCAUCAUUGCCAUCCCAAACUAUUGAGAAACGACUCCAACUUCACCUCAAGAGGGCCUCGUCAAGACCACACCUGGCGCGUCAUCACCAUCACUUCUCCCCUAGAGGUGUCAUCGCCAUCCCAAACUCUGAAAAACAACUCUGACUUCGCCAAAGGCGAUCAUCAAACCAACCCACCCUGAAUAGGCCGUGCAGAAUCACAUGAAGAUCCACAUCGGACCUCAGCCACUACAACAAGAAAGCACAGCUCUAACACCAACAGAGAGCUACGAAUGAACCAAGCAGCUGUGAAGUCGAAGCUACAGUGGCAGGGCCCGGUGGCAUAUGCUGACGAGUAGGUGGUCCGUUCGGUGAUCUUCCUCAACACGUAGUAUGACUUCAGUGCACACGACACAGUAUAUGCCCCCCUGGAGACCGACAACAGAACAACAGUUCCACAAGCAUGAGCACACUUGAAUUCAGGUGAGAGUGUGACCACUCCCAUUCCUGUCACGUAGAAAGAAGAAAACUCCCGUUUCGUACAGAAAUUCCAUGAGAAGCAAAAUGGCGCCACGUCGUAUUAUUUGUAUUCUUCGUUCUACGAAUCAGCAAAACCAGAUCACGACUCGGACACGAUUCACAUGGAGCACCUAUCUCACGCUUUUUCGACGCGGUAGCCAGGCUGCCUCUCUUCCUCAUCACUUAUUUCCACCAUGGAGAUGGUGGCCUCCAUCAGGCCGUAACUUUCUUCGACGUCACUGAGUUGCAGAUGGUGGCAAAGUCCGG
rnacentral:lncRNA from 1 species